CAAUUAACCCGAGUGAGGGUAUAGUGGGUGCAGCCCAGGGGAUCUUCCAUAGACAAGAAUGUAGGAAAGUAAUGCUCCUCCGGGUAACAGGUGUGUCUGUUGAAGCACGGUAGGUUGAAUUUCCUCCACAAUCUUUUCUCUUUCACCACCAUCAUCGCGUGUCGCCGUGUCAACACAAAGAACUGUGAACCUACCCUGAACUGCUCGAACGGGACCUCCGGCAGCAUCGCCGUUUCCCCUCUAGCCACAUAACGCUCCUCCAAAUUGGGCUCACCGGAGAGGAUCUCGAUAAAGCUUCGAUAGGGGAAGCGGACGGUCUCUGUGAAGAGGGUACGAUAAAGAAAGCGGAAGGAAUGGAGGGGGAUGCAGUGUUGGGACAGCAGAGCGAAGUAGAGGUUCAAGGGGUCGUCAGCGAGGGCGGCAGCAAGAAGCCUCCUCUCAGCUGCAAUGAGUGUGGGGGAGGCACGUUUAGUGUGUAUGGCAGGGAUGGAUCGGUUGGCGAAGAUUCCACCAGGGGAUACGAAUGAGGAGGUGGGGUCGGCGUGGAUGUAGAUGUUGUAGAGAUGGGAGUUGCCUUGGAAGAAGAGCUCCCAUAGUGGAGCAAAGGAGAGAUUAGAGUUGGUGAGGAAGAGGAAGGCGAUUUUGGGUUUGGGGUUUGUGCUUCCGGGUCGGGCGAUGGCGGAUCUCUUGAAGCAGGGGGGAUCGAUUUGAGCGAGCUUGAGAGUGAGGAAUUUAGGGGGAAAGAGGCAGAAAAGAGGGAGACAAAGUAAGAAAGCAUAGGAAACUACCAAUGGUGUCCGGGAUGGCAACAUUUUUCAAUUGUUCUUCGUACCUAACAAAAAUCUCAAAGAAAUUUAAUGUUAGAUUUUUAAAAUUUGAUACGAUGAAAAGCAAUAAUUAUAGCAUACUAGAUUAUAUUGAUCCAGAUUGAGAAGAUAAGGGGUGGUCAGUACUUUACCUUUCCUAUUUUGUAGCAGAGUGAGUGAGGAAGAAAAUGGAUUGGGGAGGAAGGUGCAAAGUUGAAAGGGAUGAAGCUUUGUCUCUAGAAAAUGUGAUGGUGGGCCUAGGUGGGUCAAUGACUUUAAAACGAGAGUUGAAUUCUACUCAUUUGCUUCCCUUAUCUCUAUGAUUAAUCUUUUGAAUAUUUUUACAAGUUCAUAAUCAUUUUAAAACAAAACUUCAUAAAGUUCAAUUAAUUAAAUUUUUUCAUCCUUUACCAUGUUAUAUUUUUGCUAUGAAUUCAAAUAUGUUUGUUUGGUAACUGUUUUAAAAAAUAAUUUUAAAAAAUAAUUUUUGAAAACUAUUUUUUGUUUUUUGUAAUACAAAAGUUUAUUUGUAAACCUAAAAUAUUUUUAAUAAGUUUUAUAUAUAAUAUCUUAUUUUUAAUUAUUCUACAUAUUUAUAUAAUUAUUUCUCAAAACAACCUUAAAAAAAUAAUUGAAAACACUCUACUUUUUGUUUUUAAUAAUAAAAAAAUAUAAAAUAGUUGUUCGUUGCCAAACAUAUUUUCUAUAUUUUUUGUUUUGAAAAACAGAAAACCAUUUUAAAAAAUAAUUCCAAAUAAAUCCUAAUUCCCUCAAUCCCAAAAUUGCAUUAUUUGUUUCAAAAAUAUAGAAAAACAUUUUAUCUAUUGAGUUAUGAGGUUCAUGUGUUAUAUUAAUGACAUUAAGAGUGUGUUUGACAAUCAUUUUAGGAAACGUUUCUAGCCUUUUUAACAUUUGAAUGAUAAAAAAUUUCUAAGUUAGAAACAUUUCCUAAAAUCACUAUCAAACAGACUAUAAUAUAGCUAUUGGCAUUUGAGUUACAUUAAUACAAUGAUAUGUUCUAUAAUUUUUUAUUCUUUUAUUAUUAUUUUUUUCCCAAAAUAAAUACUUGCCCAAUGAUGUAUUUCACCAUUUUAUCCAUUAACACGUUUGACUUGAACAACUUCUAAUGUUUUUACUAAUUUUCAUAUUCUUUUUUAAUAUUCAUUUUUUCAAAUAUUUUAAAUUUAUGAUAUUCACAUAUUCAAACUCAUUAAUUAGUUAAUGACAAACUUAUUGUUAAUAAUCUAUAUAUUACAUUGCCUUAUGUUAUAACUGAAGUAAUGAAUGUCACCCCAUUAAUUAUAAUAAAUGUUAAUUAAGUAUUAUUUAUGACUUCCAUUAAUACUCAUUAAUGGAACCAUUAAUGUUAUUUAUGAGUUCCAUUAAUAUUCAUUAAUGAGAAUAUUAAUGGAAGCCAUUUGGAAAGCCUAUAAAAUGGCUUCCCAUCCCCUAUAAUAUGCAUCCCAAAGCAAGAAAGAAAUUUCUUACUGUCUCUUAUUCUCUCUAUCUUUCAUUCUCUCAACUUUCUCAACCUUUUUAUCUGAUUCCUUCUUCCUAUUAUAUAUUAUUAUCAAAGUAAGAUAUAUUUUAUCUUUAUUACUUUAUUUGCGUUGCAUUUACCCUUAAUUUACAACACGUUAUCAACACAAAUUGCUCUGAAGGUAAUUAUCGUAUCUUAAACUUGAAGUUAUUUAUAUAGAAUAAAAUUUUACAUAUCUAUAUUAUUGUUGAUUUGUUUUGUUAUAUAUUGUUAAAAGUUAUAAACAAAUUAUUUGAUUUUGUUUAUAUUCAAAGUUAUGUCAAUGCUAUCAAUUUAUUAUAACUGAUUCAAAUAAUAUUGUUUUGUCAUAUACAUAUAAAGUUAUUUGACACUAUCGAAUCUCACAAAACUCGAAUUUGUGGCACUUGACAUUUCAAGAAAGAACUAUCUAUCUUGGAUCCUUGAUGCUACAAAACAUCUUGAUGCAAUGAAUCUUGGAGCUAUGAUCAAAGAAAGAAAUCAAGUAUCCCUGCAGGAUCACGCAAAAACACUGAUUUUCUUUCAUCAUUAUCUCCAUGAAGGUUAAAAGAAAAAAAAAAAGAGCUUUUGAUAAUAAAUCACCAGUCUCGUCCAAUUAGAUCUAAAUCAUUCCUUGAAGUGAAUGCAAUAUCGUCCCAAACUUGUGGACGUGGACGAGGAUGAGGACGUGGUCAUGGUCAUGGAAGAAAUUCCCAAUACCAUGGUUCUUAUAAUAAUAAUUCUCAGAAAAGGAAAGCCUCAUUGCACCACCAUAAGUGGAAUAAUAUUGAGGCAAAACAAGAAAAUGGGAAAUGUUUACAAGAUAAACUUCCUAAGAACCAUGAGAAUAAUUGUUAUAGAUGUGAUAUGAAGGGGCAUUGGUUGUGUACCUGUCAUACGCUCGAACAUUUGGUCUACCUCUACCAAGCAUUAAUAAAAGCAAAAGGAAAAGAGAUAGAGAUGAACUUUACCGAUAGUGAUGGAUUGGACCUAACCUACUAUGACAUUGAUUUCUUUGGAGAUCCUAGUGAAAAAAUAGACCAUUUAAUAAAUGAUGAGAAAAUUAACAUUGAUUGAUGUUACUUUAUAUAUCAAAUAUUAUUAUUUCUUAUAUUUGCAUAAGAUUUUCUUUUGUUAUUUACAUUAUGUCUUGUUUUUUUUUUGUUUUUUUAUUAGUUAUAUCUAAAAUCCAUGUGUUAUUUGGUCUCAAGAUGAAUGAGGAUGAUGUAUGUUUUCGCAGACUGUGCAACCACACACACAAUUCUUCGAAAUAAAAGAUAUUUCCUUGAAUUGGCAUUAAUAAAAGCUAAUGUAAGUACCAUAUUUGGUACUGCAAACUUAGUUGAAGGGCUCUAGAAGAGCAAACAUAAUGCUACCAAAUGAAACUAGAUUCCAUAUAAAUGAUGCUUUAUAUUCUAACAAAUCCAGAAGAAAUUUGCUCAGUUUUAAAGAUAUCCGCAGAAAUGGAUAUAAUAUUGAAACUAUGAAUGAAGAUAAUGUAGAAUAUCUUUACAUUACUUCCAUUAUAUUUGGCAAGAAGCUUAUAAUGGAAAAACUUUCGGCUUUCUCCUUUAGGUUGUAUCAUACAACUAUAAAGCCUAUUGAAUCAUAUGUUCUCAUGAACCACAAGUUCAACAACCCAAAAGUUUUUUUCCUUUGGCAUGAUAGGCUAGGUCACCCAAGGUCUUCAAUGAUGCAUCGAAUAAUUGAACACUCACAUGGGCAUCCACUAAAGAACCAGAAGAUUCUUUCACCCAAUGAAUACUCAUGUGUUGCUGACUAAACUUCUCUAUUGUACCAAAAUACUUAGCUUUUUUACGUAGCAACUCUAGUCAAGAAAAAACAAGAAAAAGAGUCACUAAAACUUAUGUAGUAUUCUAGGUAUCGUCCUUAAGGACUGGCUUAUGGAAAUUGUCAAUACUAGAAUAAAUGAAUUGCUUUUGUUUAAAUCCGAGAGUGAAAAUCAAUAUGUGAACAAUGUGAAACUAAGUAAAAGAAAUUAAAUUAAUAAAAAAAAUAAUAUUGAUUUUAAAUUCAAUUGAUUCGAGUUUAAGGUUUUCCACAAUCCAACCUAGGGUAUAGAAAUUAGAGAAAACAAGGGCCUUUUAAGUAAUAUGAUCUUAGGGUUUUAGGAUCCUUGGUCGCUUGCGAUCAAGUUGAGUUCUAUAACUCAAAAUUGCAUCUGAAACCUAAUUUUUCCUUUUUAAAACAGAUUCCUAAAACCAUUAGAUGAAUGAGAUUGAUUACUAGUUUAAGAUUUUGGCUUUUUAACCCUUCUUACUCCUUAUAGCUUUGUUUUGGGGCAAAUAACGAUAGGAAAGACGAGGAUUACUAAUGAUCAAGAAUUACCAAGAAUCACUAGUAUCGGGUAAUAACCUACCAUAUCAUUCCCUAAACUAACUCACAAGGAUAGGAUAAAAAAUUGAUAAAUUGUCACCCAACCGAUAAUUAAUCUCAUUGUUAUAAUAAUUUACCCAUUAUCCCUAUAGGUUUCCUAAACCUUAGGUUUUCAUGCUUCAAGCCCCAAGUUGGCUCUUAGCCUCUCAUGGGGGUGAUGCCACAUUCACAAUCCAUAAUAGGGUAAAAAUCCAUAAUUUGAAUAAAAAGAAACUAAAAACAAUACAUUUAAUAAAGAAGAAAAAGAAACCAAACCAAAGUUCUUGUCUUCUUCCACCUUCAAUGUCAAACUUUCUGGAAAAAAAUCCAAGAUCUCUCAAACCUAGAAUUGAGAGAGUUUAUAUAAUACCAUCAAUUACCUAACAUGUGACACACUCUCCUUGGCCACUUAUUACAAAAUAAUUUCCUAAAAAUGAUUAAAAAAAUAAUAAAAUGGUAAUUUCUAGUCAUGUGGGGUCCACUUAAGGCGGAUGGAGUGCCAUAGAUGCAAUUCCUGAGGUAGAGGAGACGAAACAUCAAAGUGGCAGUGGGUGAAUUCGAAAUUGGUAUCAUUUCGAAGUGGAUUUUGAAUUCAUAAGUUGAAUAGAUGCAAUUCUUGAGGUAGAGGAGGCGAAACAUCAAAGUGGCAGUGGGUGAAUUCGAAAUUGGUGUCAUUUCAAAGUGGAUUUCGAAUUCAUAAGUUGAAUUUCGAAAUCGUUUUGAAAUGACCCCCAACUUGGUGCGGUUGUCUUUAAAUGGACAUAACUUCUUCAUUUAGCUCUGAUUUGCACACCGUUUGAAGCGUUGGACUCCUAACUUCCCGAGCUUUGAAACAAUAUAUAGUAUGUAUACAAUGGACUCUAGGAUGUGCUCAAAAUUUGUCCUCAAAGUCAGAGUAUAUAUUGUCAUAAGAUUUUUGAGUUCUGAAUUUCCAUGCAGUUGAAUCUUGCUUCAUGCCUCAUUUCCCAUGUUUUCUUGCCUUCUUUCUUACUCCAUAAUGGUUAUUUCUCAUCUUCCAAACUUGUGAUAUCCUCGUCUUGCCUUUCCUUAUGGUCCAUGAGUCUUGACUCACUUAUUUCCUCAUUUAGCCAUUUCUUGAUCUUUCAAAAUCUAAAGUGAUUCAACUUGCACCAUUUUCUUCCCUUGAAUCUGAGAUAAGUCUUCAAAGUACAAAUUAAACUCAUGGCUAGGGCCUUAGCAUUGAUUUAGGUCAGUUUGGGUGAUUUGAAUGUCUUUUGGUGCACAAAUCAUAUAGGAUAUGUGCCAUUAGAGCACAUAUUUUGGCUCCAAUCAACUGCCUGCUCACAAGGUAAAUUGAUAAUCAUACCAUCUUUUAUUAAAGUCAUAUCUAAGUCAUUAGUCUUUUUAGAAAGAAUACAUGGGGACAUAUGUGGGUCUAUCCAUCCACCAUGUGGACCAUUCCGUUAUUUUAUGAUCUUAAUAGAUGUUUCUACUAGGUGGUCACAAGUUUGUCUCAUUUCUACACAUAACGUUUUGCCUUUGCUAGACUCCUUGAACAAAUAAUCAGAUUACGAGCACAAUUUCCAGAUUAUCUAAUUAAGAUAAUACGUCUUGAUAAUGCUGGUGAAUUUACUUCUCAAACAUUCAUUGACUAUUACAUGUCAGUAGGUAUAAAUAUUGAGCAUCCUGUUACUCAUACUCAUACCCAAAAUGGUGUAGUAGAAUCCUUCAUCAAACGUCUUCAAUUAAUAGCUCGACCAUUACUAAUGAAAACCAAACUACUUACUUCCACCCGGGGACAUGCUAUUAUGCAUGUUGCAGCUUUAGUCCGUAUUCGACCUAUAACUUACCAUGAAUACUCCCAUUCACAACUUGUGCUUGGAAAACAACCAAAUAUCUCUCACUUACGAAUCUUUGGUUGUGCAGUAUAUGUACCAAUUGCACCUACACAACGCACUAAAAUGGGUCCCCAACGAAGACUAGGGAUUUAUGUAGGUUUUGAUUCUCCAUCUAUCAUAAGAUAUCUUGAACCUUUGACAGGCAAUGUUUUUACAGUCUGCUUUGCGGAUUGUCAUUUUAAUGAGAGUGUUUUCCGUUAUUAGGGGGAGAAAAGUCGAUUCUUGAAUAACGACAAGAAAUUAGUUGGAAGAGAUAUACUAUGACCUAUCUUGAUCCUCGUAGAAAUAAAUGUGAAUUAGAAGUUCAAAAGAUCAUUCAUUUGAAAAAUCUUACUAGAUGCAUUCAUUGAUACAAAGAAAGUGACAAAAUCACAUAUCCCGGCUGCAAAUACUCUAGCACGGAUUGAUGUCCCUAUAGGACAGUUAACAAAUAAAUCUAAGAUACGCUUGAAGCGUGAUAGACCUAUCGGCUCAAAGGACGUAACUCCUUGGAAGAGGAGAACCUAAUAAAAACUUAACACUAUAGAAAAGACCAUCAAAAGGAUUGAUCAGUUUAAAAUUGAUAAAUCUAUAGCCCCAAAAGAGGCACAAAUAAUACAGAAAGCCCUCAAAGAGGCACAUAUUGAACAAGAAGCCCCUGAAGAGGCACAAGUACUUGAAAAUUGUGAGAUCUCAGUAAGUUAUGUACACAUGGAAGAAAAAUGGGAUCGAAAUAAUAUUGCUAUUAACAAUAUUUUCACUUUCCAAGUGGCCUCUGAUAUCAUAAGAAAUAAUGAAGAUCUCAAACCACAAAAUGUGGAAGAAUACCGAUAUAGAAAUGAUUGGCCAAAAUGGAAAGAAGCUAUACAGGUAGAGUUAAACUCAUUAAAAAAAUGAGAAGUUUUUGGACCUGUAGUUCAAACACCUGAAGAUGUAAAGCCUGUUGGGUACAAAUGGGUAUUUGUACGAAAGCGCAAUGAGAAUAACGAGGUCAUAAGAUAUAAAGCGUGAUAAGUAGCACAAGGUUUCUCAUAGAGAACUGGUAUUGACUACGAGGAAACAUACUCUCCCGUCAUGGACGCAAUCACAUUUCGUUUCUUAAUUAGUUUGACAGUCUCAAAAGGAUUGGAUAUGAGUCUCAUGGAUAUUAUUACAACAUAUUUAUACAGAUCUAUGGAUAAUGAUAUAUACAUGAAAAUCCUUGAAGGAUUUAAAUUGCCUGAAGCAAAUAGUAUAAAGUCUCGUAACAUGUACUCAAUCAAGUUACUAUGAUCCUUGUAUAGAUUAAAUCAAUCUGGACGCAUGUGGUACAAUUGCCUUAGUGAAUACUUGUUAAAAGAAGGAUAUGUGAAUGACCCUAUAUGCCCAUGCAUCUUCAUUAAGAAAUCAGAAACCGGAUUUACAAUUAUUGCAAUGUAUGUUGAUGACUUAAAUCUUGUUGGAACUCCUGAAGAUCUCACAAGAACAAAAAAUUACUUGAAAAAUGAAUUUGAGAUGAAAGAUCUUGGAAAAACAAAAUUUUGUCUCGGCCUGCAGAUUGAGCAUUUUCCAAAUGGAAUUUUAGUACAUCAAUCAACAUACAUUAAGAAAGUUUUGAAGCAUUUUUAUAUGGAUAAAGCGCAUCCUUUAAGUUCUCCAAUGGUUGUCCGAUCACUUGAUGUGAAAAAGGACCCAUUUCGUCAUUGUGAAAAAAAUGAAGAAUUACUUGGUCCUGAAGUACCAUAUUUUAGUGCUAUUGGUGCACUUAUGUAUCUUGCCAAUUGUACACGUCCAGAUAUUGCUUUUUCUGUCAAUUUACUAGCAAGAUACAAUUUCACUCCAACUCGAAUACAUUGGAAUGGUAUCAAAUAUAUAUUGCGUUAUCUUCGCGGAACUACUAAUAUGUGCUUAUUUUACUCAAGGGAAUCAAAGCAACAAUUGGUUGGAUAUGCAGAUGCAGGAUAUCUUUAAGAUCUACAUAAAGGUAGGUCACAAAUAGGAUAUGUGUUUAAUUGUAAUGGUACUACUAUUUCAUGGAGAUCUGUCAAAUAAGCAAUGGUAGCCACAUCAUCAAAUCAUUCAAAAAUACUGGCAAUUCAUGAAACAAGCCAUGAAUGUAUAUGGCUAAGAUCUAUGAUCCAGAAUAUUCGUGAAUCAUGUGGACUCUUCUCUAUCAAAGGUGACUCGACAAUAUUAUUUGAAGAUAAUGUUGUAUGCAUUGCACAAAUAACAGAGGGUUAUAUUAAAAGAGAUAGAACUAAACUCAUUUCACUAAAAUUCUUUUAUACAAAUGAACUCCAGAAGAGUGGUGAAAUUGAUGUACAACAAAUACGCUCAAGUGAUAAUCUAGCAAAUUUAUUCACAAAAUCAUUGUUAAUCUCAACAUUCAAGAAGUUAAUACACAUGAUUGGAAUGCGUCAACUCAAGGAUAUCGACAUGAGGGAGAGUAUGCUUGUAAAAGGGUGUUAGUAUAUUGUACUUUUUUUCCCCUUUAUCCAGGUUUUGUCCUACUGGGUUUUACUGGCAAAGUUUUUAACAAGACAAUCCUAACAUACCAAGAGCAACUUAAAGAAUUAUAAGAAUAUUGUACUCUUUUUCCUUCGUUAGGGUUUUUCGGUAGGGUUUUUUACUAGCAAGGUUUUAAUGAGGCAUAUUCUUCAAUGUGGUGGACAUCUAAGGGGGAGUGUUAUAACUAAAGUAAUGAAUGACACCACAUUAAUUAUAAUAAAUGUUAAUUAAGUAUUAUUUAUGACUUCCAUUAAUACUCAUUAAUGGAAACCAUUAAUGUUAUUUAUAAGUUCCAUUAAUAUUCAUUUGUGUGAAUAUUAAUGGAAGCAUUUUAGAAAACCUAUAAAAUGGCUUCCCAACUCCUGUAAUAUGCAUCCCAAAGUAAGAAAGAAAUUUCUUACUUUCUCUUAUUCUCUUUGUCUUUCAUUUUCUCAACUUUUUCAAUUGCUUUCUCUGAUUCCUUCUUCCUAUUAUAUAUUAUUAUCAAAGUAAGAUAUAUUUAAUCUCUACUACUUUAUUUGCGUUGCAUUUACCCUUAAUUUACAACAACUUAUUAAAUUUUAUAUUUUUAUUAAAAAUAUAAAUAGGAAUUCACUAUUAUAAUUGAUUUUCAUUUGAAAAUAUUUUUAUUAUGAAUCUAUUUGGUUACCAUGGCGUAAAUUCACCAUUUAAUAGAACAUAAAUAAUUUCAUUAUAUUUUGUGCUUUCCAUACAUUUUUUUUUUUUUACGAAAUCAAAUAUAAUAAUUAUUUACAUGUCUUCCUACUUUUUUUCUCUAAUAUUUUUAAUAUGCCCAUGGUAUGCUGUUUAAUUUAUUUUUCAUUCUCAUUUUACUCAUAUUUAUAUUUACAACUAUUAUUAUUAAAAUAUCAUAUAAUAUUUUAUUUUAUUUUUAAUUUUAAUAUUUUAUAAAACAUAUUAUUUGAUGGAUAAACAUAAGCCAUAUUGCUAUUAUUUCAUAUUAAUUAACUAAACUAAUAUCACUUUUAUUUUUUUUUAAUGAUUUAAUAGUUCAUUUCUAUAAAAUAAUAAUUUACAACAAAUAUUUUUUUUUAAAUAACAUAAUUCCAAUAAAUUAGAAAAUAUAUAUAACAAUAAAUAUCAUACAUUACAAAAUAAAAAUGAAAAAAAUAGAGCAAAAAUAUUACUUAGGAAUAAAAUAAUAUAACUUUUAUUCUUUUAAUGAUUUAAUUUAUUUAAAAUGAUAAUUUCCAACAAAUAUUUUUCAAACAAAUGUUACAUGAAUCCAAAUAAAUUUUAAAACUUAUAUAACAAUAAAAAUCAUGCAUUACAAAAUAACAUAAAAUAAAAAUAAAGUAAAAAUAGUAAAAAUAUUACGUGUUAAAGAUAAGUGGCAUGCGUGUCCCAAGAAAGGAAGGAGAUAUGAGAGAAGGUUGCCCAAAGAGAAAUGGGGGAUAUGGAAAGAAGAAAAUUGGGUUUCAAAUGGGGAAUGAGAUAAAAAUAAGGAUGAAGAUUGAAGUAGAUUUUAUUUUGUAAGUGAAGAUGGUAAGUAAAGAGUUUUAAAGGUAGGAUGGGUGUAGUGUGCAUGAUAAAAGGUGUGUUUUAAAAAUGAAUAACAUUUAUAUGUUUCAAAAGAAGUGACUACUUGAAAUAGUAAAAUUGUGUGAAAUGGUGCAAUGUUUAAAUGUUUUAGAAGAAGUGACAAUACUUGAAAUGUUAAAAUUGUGUGAAAUGUCAAACCGAUUGAGUGUUGCAUAGGUAUUGUCUGAAGUGGUGCAAUGCAAUGGAGUGUGAAGUAAUACAGUGCAUUGUUGGACUAAUGUGUGAAGUAGUGGAGGAAGUAAUUUGUAAAGUAGUGGUGGCCUUGUGGUACGACAAGAUUCUCCUAAAAAGAUGACAUUCUAUAUUUUAUUUUGAAAAUUUAAAUUAAAGAAUAAAAAUUUUAAUUUUAAAGCUUAUUUAAUAAAAUUAAUUUAAAAUUUUUUAAAACAAAAUUAUUUAAUAAAUUAAUAAUAAUUUUUUUAUAAACUCAUUUUUCACAUAAAAUUGAUAAUAGUUUUUUUUUAAUCCAAAAGUGAAAGAAACAAAAAGUAAUAGAUAAAUAUUAUUUAUCUUAUAUAAAAAAAAAAUAUAAAACUAAAUUAGUUUCUAUUUAUAGUUAUAAUUAAUUGAAUUAAUUUAAAGAUAAAAUUAGAGAUAAAGACUAAAAUAUUUUUUAAAUUAAUAUCUAACUUAAUAUAAAAUAGUAUUUUUUAAUAUUAGAUGUUAAACAUAAUUUAUAUUUUUAUAAGUAUUAUUGUUGAUAAAUAUUCCAAUAAUUAUAAUUAUUUUUAUAUAUUAAAUUUAAUAAAUAAAUUUAAUUAAUUUUAUAGUACAUAUCUUUAUAAUAAUUAUAUUAUUGUAUAAAUGCUAUGUGUUUUCUUAUUUUUAAUUAAUUAUACAAUGCUAUGCCACUUAGAAAUCGUGAUAAACACCAAAAUAUUUUUCUAAUUAAUAUGAGAAUGAUAAAUAUAAUUUAUAAUUUUAUUAAUAUUAUAUUUAUAAAUUAUAUAUGAAGAAUAAUAAACAUAAAAUCAAUUAAUUUUACAAUAAAAAUUAUUAAAAUAAAUUAUUAGUUAAAAUGAAAAUAGUCUUUUCAAGAGACAAUUUCCAUUUUUUUAUUUAUAGAAAUUGUCUCUUCAAAAGACGAUUUCUCCCCAAUUUUUUUUCUUUAUAUACAUGAAGUGAUGAAUUUAGUCUUUAAAUUUUUUUAUUAGAAAUAGUCUUUUUAAGAGACUAUUUUUACUUUUCUCUUUCUGAUGGACAAAAAUUAUGGUAGAUUUGAAAAAAUAUAUUUUUUUUCACUAGGAUAGUUUACAAAUUAUUUUUUUAAACUACCAUACUUUUAUAUAAAAUCCAACAGAUAAGGAGAAGAAAUGGAGGUAAAGUUGAUUAAGUUAUGAAUGACUGAGGAUGUCAAAGAAAAUCAAAACAUGAGAGAGUGGAUAAAUAAGUGAAAUUAGCCUUAUAUACUUAUUUGUGUUCUAAAUAUAAAUAAUAUUUUAUUUAAGAUGAAAAAAGUUUUACUAAAUUUAAUUUUAAUUAUCAAACUUUUAAAUUUCAUUAGAUUAAUUAUUAAAAUAUAAAAAACAUCAUAAUAAUUUUCAUUAAAUAGAAAUUGAAUAUAAGAAAAAUAUAAAUUUAUAAGUAAAAUUUUAAAAAUUAUUAUAUAUUAAAUAUAGCUUAAAUUAUGCAAAAUUAUUAUCAAAUGUCAUAAAUCUUAUCUCUCUCUUUCUCUCUCUCUCUCUCUCUCUCUCUCUCUCUCACACACACACACACACACACACACACACACACACACACACAUAUAUAUUUAUAUCUUCAAUAAAACAAUUUCAGUAUGCUUAUUAUUACUUGUUUUUAUCAAUUUCUUUAUAAUUUUUCAUAAUAUUUCUAUGAAUUUUGAUUAAUCUUCGUCUCACUAAUAUUUUUUUUUUGAAUUUUCAUAUAAUAUUUUCAACAAAUCCAAACACUAAUAUUUUCAUUAAUUUUGAAUAUUUUAAACCUUGUAUAAGAGUAAUUUACAUUUUUUUUAUAUUGAAAAAAUUAAGCUUGUACUUGGUAUAAGGGAAUAGGAAUCAAAAUAAGAUAGGAAUGAAGAGGAAUCAUAAUAUAUUGUAGAAGAGAGGAACAUAGUCCUAAUGAGAGUAGGGUUUGAUUUCCUAAAAAAAAAAAAAGAAAAAAAAAUGUUUUUAUUCUUAUUCCUCUUCAAAAACUUAUCCAAAAUUUGAAAAUUCCUAUAUUUUAGUUCUUACAUGAUAAUAUUUUACAUAUCCUUUAUAUCAACAAAUUAAACAUACUUUUGGUACAUCAUGUAUCAACCUUAGUUUUGUUGUAAAUAAUAUUUUUGAGUUUUCUCUUUUAAUAAGCUCCUUGCUAAAUAUGAGUAUCACCUGCUUGCUUGUCUUUUAUCAAGCAACCAAAUUCAUCACCUUAUUGCUUAUCCUAUACCAAGUAGCAACCAAGUGCAUCACCCUUUAGCUUGCUCUUUACUAAGCAACCAAGUGUAUCACCUUGUUGCUUGUCCCUUGCCAAGCAUGAGGUGUUGGAAUGAAAGCAACCUAAGCAUGAGGUGUCACGUGAUCAAGUGUUUUAAUGCAUACAACCUUAUAUCACCUACUCAAGCAACUACAAGGCUUAAGCUAUUGGGUGAGAGCCUUAGAAAACAUGACAUGAUAUAACAAAUUAAGAUUCAUUAAUAAAUUUAUUUAUUUAUUUUCUAGUUCCCUUUAUUAUCCCUUAUGUGGUAAUUAGUUAUCAGAGAAUACACACCCAUAUAAUUUGUAUUGCAUAUAACUUAGGUGUAUUAUUAGUUCAUGAAUUUGGGCAAUCUAGUAGAUAUCGUGGUGCACUAUCUCCUAAUUUGAGGGAUGAAUUAUUAUGGUCGUUAAGAUGUGAUUUUGGAUGGUGAGUGCACUCAUGUGUAUGGUUACAAAUUGGAGAUGACCGAAGGUGAAUCGGGACGUAAAGAUUAUCAGUUGUCAUGAUUGACCAAGCUACCAUACUGCAUGGACUCUCAACCUUGAUAAGAUAUUAAGCCUAUGUCAAAAUCAACAAAAGACUUUAACCUAUUGGUGAGACCUUAAUAUAGCCAUAUAUUCCUAUGGAUUGGGAUACUAUUGAUAAAGGCUGAUGACAAUAAGUAUUUUCAAUAGAGGGAUCAUGAUAUUUCAUGGGAUUGAAACAAUGUAUCCCCUUAGAUGAUCCAAAUGACAUAUGAUUAGGAAGACUAGUCAUAAAAUUUCCUUUAGUGGAAUUUGAUAUAUGCUCUUUGAGAGUUGAAUAUGUCAGUUGAUCGCAUAAUAAGUAGAUCUAUAACUUAAGGAUUAGAGAGGUAAUCUUGAUAAAUUGAUAACACUGCUUUGUUAAAUUACAAACACUAGUUUAUGGGAAGUUUGUAUGUAGUGGAUAGUAGGUCAUGACUCGAGUUUCACUUAUUGUAAUUUCAUAGGAUACUAGUGUCCAAAAGGACCAUUGAUAAGAUCUAAUGCAACCUUAUAAUUUUACCAAAAUGCCCUUAUGCACCCAAGAAAACUAAGAACCUAACAUUCACUUAAAAACCAUGUCACAAUUAACUAGGAACUCAAGUGGGAACUAUUAGAACCCAUAGGAAAAUAUUAGCUCUCUUAGAAUCCAAUUUUGAAGUUGACUCAAUAGCCUAUUAUAGAUAAUCAACUGCAUUCUUGUAUCUUAUGCAUUACAUUAAGACAAAUUUGAGUUUGUAACUUACUAUCCACUACAUAUAGACUCCUUGUGAACUAGUGUCAAAAAAAAAAAAAAGUGUUAUUAUCCCCUCAAGAUUGCCUUUAUAAUUCUUGAGUUACAAAUUCUCCUAUUAUGUAAUCAGUUGACAAAAUCUAACUCACAAAAAUAGUAUAUCAAAAUUAAGGAGUUACUAUAACUAUAAUUUUCCUAAUCAUGUCUUUAGGAUUGCCCAAAGGGAUACACUAUCUCAAACCCAUGAGAUAUAAUGGUGCCUUUAUUGAGAAUAUCAGUUACCAUAAGCCUCCAUCAAUAAUGAACAAUCCAUAUGGAAUAUAUGACCAUAUUUGAGUCUAACCUAUAAGUUAAAGCCACUAAUGACUUCAAAAUAGGUUUAAUAUCAUCUCAAGUUCAAGAGUCCAAAUAGUAUAGUAGUUUGUUGAAUCAUGACUAUCUGAUAAUUAAUGUCAUAAUUCAUCAUAGGUCCUAUCUAAUAUGUAACCAUACAUAUUAGUACAAGUACCAUGCAAAAACUAUCCUAAUGACCAAAACAAGUCAUCCAUCCAAUUAAGAGGUAGUGCCCUGUAGUUACUGAUUGAUUGCCCAAAUCCAUAAAUCGGUUAUGAACUUCUUAUCAUCUUACAAGAAACCUAAGACUUGAAUCUUUUGUGCAACUCCUAAUACACCCCAGUCAUAUGCAUGUGAUAAGGGCGUGAAUACUCAUCUCACCUCACAAAGGAUUCAUCUCACCCAAGACUUGAAAAUAUUAUGUCAUGUUUUCAAGGGAUUUAUCCUAACAAGGCCACAACUCAUCUCACCCCUUGGAGUAUUAAAGAUUAUCUAAGCGUGAUGAAAAUUAAGAAAAGAAUUAGAAAUGUAAAUUUGCAAGCUGAAACUGGAAGACUGAAAAAUAAGAUUAAUUGUAAAAGCUAGAAAUUCAUUAAAAUGAAAAUUAAGGAAAGAUUACCAAAAAAAAUAAAAAAUAAAAUAAAAUUACAAUCGAAAAACUAAAACUAAGUUACUCCCAUUCUUACUCCUAAAAAAAGAAAAACUAUCUAUUUAUAUCUAUAUUAUCUUUUUCUACUUAUAUAUUUUCAUAGUCUCCCUUUUAUAGGUAAAAAGUUCUCCCCUGUAUUCCAACUACUUCAAUGCCUUUCCAUUUGGAUUUGCCUCUUGCCCACGCUGAGAAUAUGAAUAUGUGUCAGUGCAAUCAUCAUCUGUGAUUGGUUAGCUUGGAAUUGGUGGUUGCAUCUCUAUGUAUAUCUAAAAACUUGAUUUAUUUACAUAUUUUAAAAAAUAGUGAAUUACACAUGCUUUUACAAUUCAUUUAAAUGAAGUAUUAUUAACUUUUGUAUUAAAGAUAUUUUAUUCAUUUUUAACAAAAAAAUUAAUUUAUGUCUUUAUUAAAUAAAAGAUUAUUAUUUAUAAUUCAUAAUAUUCACUAAAAUACUAUCAUUUUUAAUAUAAGAAAAACCAUGUAGAUUUUUAUUAUCAUAUUAUUAUUCAUAUUUUAUCAAAUGGUAUUUAUUUUUAAUUCAUUUUAAUUACAAAACUAUUUUUCAUUUUAAUAAGAACAAAAUUGAAUUUGAUUUAAUAUUAUGGUUUGUUUACUAAACUUCAAAGGAAAUGGAAAAAAAAAAGGUAACUAAAAGAAAAAGAGGUAAAUCCUGAAUUCCAUUGAAGUGUUUAUUAAAUCGUAGAGAAUGAAAUUCAUACUUUUACUAUUUUGCUCUUAUAUAUAAACAUAUUAUCAUUAGGUGAAUUGAAAAUGAGUAAAAAUUAUUUUCUAACAUUUUUAUCUUGGAAAAGGAUUUUUAUUAAUUUAAAUUAUGAUUUUUUUUUUAAAUAUUGGUUAUAAUUAUGGUUUCGAAGAACCCAUGAUUUUUACCUUAUCCCUUUUAAAAAAAUGUGCUCCAAUAGGCAAUAUUUAUUUUAUUUAAAUAUUUAAAAUAAAUAUUUAAAUAUUGAAACUUUAUUUAAACUUAUAUGGGAUUAGUGGAAACUCUCCCUAAUCCAUUUCUUUGCUUUCAAAGGAGAAUCCCAUUGCUUCAUUUGGAGGAAACUGUUUCCUCAGAUAUUGGUGGGGCCCAUUCUUAUAUUUUGAUAAAAAUAAAUAAAUUUUCGACUUUAUACUAAAAACAUAAUAUAUUUAGAAAUAAAUUUAAGAUGUUUUCAGUUAUUUUCAUAGGAUAUUUCUAACAACAAUCGAAAAAAAUUAAGAAUACUUUGAAAACUUUUGCAAUAUACAAAAGGGUACAAUAUCUUCAUGGGUUGAGGAUAUUGUAAGUCUUGCAAUGUAAACCAAAAAGUUUUUUCAGAACUUUAUUCGAAUUUAAGACUCGAGGGCAAAAAAUUGAACUUUGACACGCCUGGAAAUUAAGGAGUAGAGGGCAAACAAGGAACUUCAAUUUUAUCCUCACAACAAGUUACACCUCAUGCAUGACUUGAGGAUACAAAAAAAGAAUAUCAUUGUCAUUAAUAAGAUAUCCGAAUACCCACUUCUAAGAUACAGUAACCAGCAGGUUGGUCAUACACACGUACGGAGCAAAUCAAGGACAGCACGCCGAGAAAAUUAAAGACAAACAAGGAACCAAAAUGUUUACGCCGUAACGAACCCCCCGUGGAUCUACAACCAGCCGUUCAUGACCUGCGCUGCGCCAGGUUUAUCAAGAGUUGCAGCCCACUUCCGAAUGGAAACAAGAAGAAGGAUGUGCUGUUCUAGUUGUUCAUGUUCCUGGUUCGUAUAAGCCUAUUUAUUAUUUGUUUCAUUCAUCCAAUAGCCUAUUUAGAUUGUGUAUUUUACAAUUUCUAUGUUUAUUAAUUUGUCCUCAAUAAUUAAUAUGUUGUUGUGUUUCCUUUGUUGUUUUGUGCAUAACUUCAACAUAUUUACAUGCAUCCAGGUUAAGAAUUUGUUUGAUAGUAAUUCUGAAAAGUGCUCGUAACAUUUUUAAUAUUUAAAAUUUUUAAAAAAUAUAAUUAGAACUCGACUUGAAUUGAGUCAUGCAUAUACUUGCCUGGAUGAAUCGGUUAUAGUUAGUCAUAAUCCUAAUGUUUUUUUCCCUUCUCCUAAGCUCUGGCCAAGUAUAUUCCAAUAGCCAAGAUCUCACUUUGUUUUAAACUAAAAAAAAAUAUGCAACUUAGUUUUAUCCAGGUUGCAUUCUUUUUUCUUAGUUUUCUAAAACUUUAUUUUCUUAACAUAGAUUUGAAAUUGUGCUCCCAAGCUAAUGGGAAUACACAAGUGAGUCUUAUGAAUAUUAAUUGGGAAUUUGAUGGGACCCGAACAUAAAAGAAUCUUUUCAAAACUUAUUUUUGCUACCACUUUUGCUACUUGUUAUAGUCAUAAUCAUCAAAUUUUUAGGAAUAACAUGCAAGGUGUAUAUGAUAAUUGAUGACUUUGUAUACAUUGGUCAUUUUUACUAUGUUAUUUAGAUACCAAGCAUGCUAGAGUUUCUUUCUUUUAUUAUUUAUCACUAUAAUUUUGAUCUAACCUUCCAUGUCUUGUGAAAGCACAUUAUGAGUUAUCUAUGUUAUUCAGGUACUUAUCUUACCUCCGCAUUUUAAUUCCAUAAAUUAUGUAUUGCUUUAUAUGUGAUUGUCAUGUUUAGCUGAUUGAUUGAUUUUUAUGAUUUAUCGCAUCAAAACACAAUUUAUAACCUAAUUCACUAUUCUAGAGUAGCUUGUACCCGAUUAAAAAUGGUUUUAGUACAAACUACCAUAGUAUAGUGGUUUUUAUGUGUUGUCUACUAGGAUGGAUUAUUCUCGAUAAUUAAGGCUGGAAUGAGAGGAUAAGAAAUAAUUAUGAUAAUGUGAAAUUUAUUUAAAAAUUCAUGGUGAAAAAUUAAUUUAACAAUGGUCUCAAAUUGAGAAGAACAAUGAAAUGUAAAAUAGAAGAAAAUUAAUAGGAAAUGAAAUUCUCGAAGUUAGGAUUUUUUAGAAAAAAAUUUCCAUGGUGAAUAGAUGUUGAGAUAUAAUCUUCAUUAAGUUAGAUUGAAAACCUAAAUUCUCAUCUAAACAGAUUUUAGAUGUAGCUUUAAGUCUAGAUAUAAUUUCUCUUCAAAUUAGGUUAUUUAAUCCAAGAGAUCAAUUCAAAUCAUAUUUCAAUGAUUCACACAAUACAACUGUUCAAUCUCAUCAAAUCUAGCUUUAAGGAUUUAAUGAAUUUGCCUAGUUUGCAUUGUAGUAGUCAUCCAAGACAAUUUGAAGGGAAAAAUCCCCAAAAUUCAAUUAAUCAAUCAAUUGAUUUAAAUUACCUUUGCAAUUAAAGCUAAUUUCUUUAAUUCACCAAACAGGCCAUUAUACUUUUUCUUCUUUUGUGUUUUCUUUUUCUUCUUUUUGUGUUUCCUUAUAUGCUUUUUGUGUUUCAUUAUCUUUGUCCUUUAAUGAAACCAUGUCUAGCAAGAAAAAAAUGUGAGCCUGUAGAUCUGAGUUAUUUCAUGCAUUUUGUUUUUUGUUUUUUUUUGGGUUUUGAUUCUUUUCCUAGAUUUGGUUUCAUUUUUCAUUGUUGUUAUUAUUAUUAUUAUUAUUAUUAUUAUUAUUAUUAUUAUUAUUUUGUUUUCGUAGAUUGGGCUCUGCUUUUCUAGGUUUGCAAGUAAUUUUUCCAUUUCUAGAUUUGUUGAUGGUUUUUCCCAUUUUUGGGUUUGCUUGUAUUUUUUUUAUUUUUCCGUUUUUGGGUUUGCUUGUGGUAUUUUCCAUUGAUGAUUAUAUGGCUAACAGAAUCCCACUUCAAAACGCCUCUGCUUUUGUCCCAUGUAUAUUUUUGUUUAUUUAUUUUCUAUUCAUUUUCUUCAUUUUCUUUCUUAAUUAUUUCUCCAUGUUCACAUCUUUGACCUACUUCCAUUUUCCACCAAAAUGACCCACCUUGACUUUAUAAUUAGCUUGCUUUUUUCUCUCGCUAUAGCUAUCCCUAGAGAGAUCUCUGUUUCUCCAAAUAUAGGUAAAUAUAUAGGUUUUUUCUUUGUUUAUUACCAUAAUUAAAUGGAUUUGUCCAUUUCCAUUUCGAUCUUUAUGAGUGUCUCUAUUAGAUUCUGUAAUUUCUUCAUUUUUUUUCAUCUGAAAAUUUUUCUAGGUGUCCAUGAUUUGGUUCAAAAUUUUCAUCUUUGAAUCUCUUCUUGGCCCAUGUGUUUAAGUCUUAAACAUUAUGUUUUGGUGUGGUUUUGACUUUGAAGUAUUGUUUGUUUGUGUAAGAUUUCAAGAUUUUUUUUUAGAAUUUUUAACUUUUUGAAAUCCUGAGAUGAUCUCCUCUAAGACCCAAACAACAUGUCAUGCUUAUUGUUGUUCAACAAAUUUGAGUAAAGAAAUGAAAAUUAUUAGCAAGAGCUUUUCAUUUAUUUAUUGUUAUGUCAGUAUUGGAUAAUGGACUCGCUAUUGUGUUGAAAAGUACAAGAAGUUAGAGACUUGAAAAAAUGAUUUAGUGGAAUAAGGGUUUGAUUGUGGAUGGAGAAGAGCCCACUUUGGUGAUGAGUCUUUUUUGAGUUCAGAUUAGGAAAAGAUUCUUAUAGGUUUUUUAGGGUUAGGUGGAAGAGUAGUCCAUAACACCAAUGUUUUUACAUGUUGGGAUGUAGGAGUUUUAUGAAUAUAAAAUAUAUGUGAUGGCCAUGGGCUCACUUUCGGCCAACUUGUAUAUAAUCUAGGAUGGGACCUAUUCUUUCUAAGAGCUAAUCUUAAAUUAUUAAUUAUUUGCAAAUUGGUUAUAUGAUUAGCGACCUAACUAAAUCAUACGCUUUGCACUUUACUAACUAGUCUAGAGUGAAGAUUUGGUGAUAAACUUUUGGCUUUUCCUGUGCCACUACCAUUGUGAGGGAGAUAGGUUGCGUGCUCAAUUUCACCCAACCACCACACCCCCACCCUCAAGCCAUUUCUUCUUCCUUUAUUUAUUUAUCACUGACAUGCAAUGCAAUAUCUAUAGCUAAUAAACAUGUAUUAGUAUGAUGCAUUUAUGAUAAAAGUAAAUGUUAUCAAAAUGAUUAUGGAGUUUACUAUAUGUACAAAUACAAAUAUUGUUAAAAUUAAUAUAGUUACACAUGAUUACAAGUCACCCUUUGUUUAAGAAAAUUAUAACUGGUGUAAAAUUUUCAAAAUGGAAUAAUUUUUUUAAUUUAAAUGAAUUGUACAUAUAAAAAUUAUUUAUAUAUUUAUAAUAUAAAGUUAAUUGAAGAAAACACUUUAAUUGAAAAAAAAACAACUUCCAAACACAUUUUUUUGUUUUACUUGUUUUAAAAAACUUUUUUAUUAACUCAACCAAACAUGUUUUUUUUUUAAGAACAAAAACAUUUUCUAGAAUUAGUUCUCAAACAUAAUUUUUUUUUAAAACACUAAAAACUAUUCUCAAAAAUGGUUUUCCAGAGCAGUUUUCAAAAGCAACAACCAAAUAGACCUUAAAAUACUUUCAUAUAUUGAUGAAGGGUAUUUUUUUAUUAGGUAUAUUGAUAAGAUGUUUUUUGUUUUUGUUUUUUAUACAUAAAAUGUUUUGUAUAUGAUACUUUACAAAAAGAGAGGCCAUGUGUGACCAAGUGGCUUGCUAGCCUAAAAAAGAGAGGUUCCUCUACAAUAGGAGAUUUGUACAUGUAUCUUAUUUUUCUUAAAUGGUUGUUAAGGGUAUUUUGGACAUUUAUGACUGAUAAACUUUCCAAAUAUCCUCCACAAUAAUUUUAUAAGUUUGGAAAGGAGUGUUGCAUUCACAAAGAAAUAUUCAUAAAUGAGGAUAUUCUCAUGUGAAAUCAUACAUUAUGUACCAAAGAACAUGAUAGCCAUUAAUGACCAUUAAAACAAUCAUAAUCUAAAGACAUAAAUGACCAUAAAAGGGGAUUAAUAGGGUUGAGAAUGAUUUACUAAAAAUCAAAUUGAAAAAGCCUUUCAAAAACACAUAAAAAUAUGAGAGCAACUAUUGAUUUUAUCAAGCAUUAAGAUUAUAUCAAAGCCUAUGAUGAAAGGCAUGAUCCUUGGCCACAAAAUAGCCAUAAAAAGAUAUUUGACAUCUUAGUAAAAAAGGUUUGAAAAUGCAUUUUACAAUCAGAUUUGAAAAGAAAAAUAAAAAAGACCUCAAAAGGUAUUUUCUAUUGAUAAUUAAUUUGGUAAAAUGAAUAAACACCUUUGUGACUCUCAAAUUUAUUUCAAAAUAUAUCAAAAAGACUUUCAAAAAUCAUUACAAAUUAGGGAAAACAAAAUUCAUGAAGAAAAAACAAAAAAUUCAAAUUCAAACAAAACCUCAUUUCAUGAAUCAUCAAUGAGCUUGAAGAAAGGUAAACUACCUAAAUGAAAUCUAAAUUCAAACCAAAACAAAUUUUAAAACCAUUGUACAACAAGAUGAAUCAAAGAUUAAACCAAUGCUCAAGUAAUCAUGAUGAAUCAAGAGAAGAAGAAAAGAGGAACGAGCAUAAAUCAUGAAUAAAACAACCAACAAUCCAAUGUAUGACCUCUAAUAUUCACACCCAACAAGAAAAUAAUCCUAAGAAGCAAUAGUAAGUAGAAAAGAAAAGAAAAAGAGGAUGAGAAAACAAAGUCAAAUGGCACUUACCAAUAAUACUCCACACAAGAAAGGCUUGAUUGGCUUCUAAUAGGGUUUUCUUCUCCUCCACUAAAAUCAAGCUACAGAUCAAGAAAUUCCUUUAAAAGUGGCCUAAGAGUCAACACAAAAGUUGAGUAACAAACGAACCACCAAAAAAUGCAUUGAAUGACUAAACAGAAAGUGAUCUUAUGUGUGUACUACAAGAAGGGACAAAGCAAUGGAUAAUAAGUAUGAUAUAUAUAAAAUGUGCUAUAAAAACAAAAUGGAGGGUCUACGACACCUUUUGUGUGUAUGUUGAAGAUGGAUUGGUUGAUAACAAUGCCACCGAGAGAGAUGAAUGCAGAUGUGGGAUAGGUGUGAAUGUGAACGUUGUAGAGAUGGGAGUUGCCUUUGAAGAAGAGCUACCAUUGUGGAGCAAAGGAAAUAUGGGAGUUUAUGAUGAAGAGAAGGGUGAUUUUGGGUUUGGGGUUAGUGGUUCUGAGUUAGAUGAUGAUGGAGGCAACUGUGGGUUUUCAAAAGCUAGAAACAUCAAUUUGAUGAAGAUUAAGAGUGAGAAAUUUAGGGUAGAAAGAGGAAGAGAAGAGAGAGAUGGAAUAUGCAAGUAUAGAAAACUACCAAUGAUGUCAAGGAUGAGAACAUUCUUCAUUGAUUUUUUGUACCCAACAAAAAUAUAAAAGAAAUUUAUUUUUAGAUUUGAGAAGGUGAAGAGAAGAAAAAAAGAGUUUGAAAUGAUAAAAAAACAAUAAUUAAAGUAAACAUGAUAAUAUCGACUAAGAUUGAGAAGACAGAGGGUAGUUAGUAGUUUACUCGUUCUAUUUUGUUAGAGCAAUAGCAUGAAUGAAGGAAGAAUGGAGGUGGGGAGGGACAAAAGGAUAAAGCUUUAUUGCUAGCAAUGGCAUGGUGGGACUUGGUAGGUCAAACAUGAUUGGAGGUCUUUACCAUGUCCAUCCCACCCAAUGGCUUGCUUAUUUGAUAAAAAUGGAACAAAAUCUUAUCAAAAUCAGGGUUUAGUACUAUUUAUUUACUUCUCUUAUAAUAUCAUUAAUUAUGUCAAUCCUAUAUGAUUAAUCUCUUAAAUAUUUUUGCAAAUUCAUAAUCAUUUUACACCAUAACUUCAUAACUUUUAAAUUAAUUGAAAUUUAUCAUCAAUAUUAUCCUUUACCAUCUUAUAGGCUUGCUAAAAAAUAAAGAAAAAAUUACACGCAUACUCCUUGUGGUAUUUGAUAAUUACACUUUACUCUCUCAAGUUUCUAAAAUCACACCAACACCCACUUGACCAAUCAUCGGGUAACAUGGCUACCCUAUGAAUGAUGUUAACUAAUAAAGAUUGACCAUAAGUUGGUUGAUGAUGUCAUUGUUAAAAAUUGAAAGACAAAUAAUUAAAAUACCCUCAAAAGUCUAGUUUUCCUGUUUGGGAAGACCUUUGUCUUCCUUCUUGCUAUAACCCGCUAGUGACCCUAAUUAACUUAAGAGAAGUGUUGGAGUACCCUUUGUAUAUAAUAUGAAGGUAAGGGCUUAGGUUUCCCAAUCUUCAUUCUAAAUUAUAAUUAAGAUUUUUAUAUGUAAUUAAUUAUAAUCAAUUUUUAUUAAAUAAUAUAUUAAUCAUUAUUAACUUUAAAUAUUAUCAAUUAUAAUAACUAAAUAAUUUUAAAUAAUAAAAAUUAGGAUGUUAAAUAAAAUAAUUUAUAAUUAAUCUUGAAUAUUUUUAUUAAAUAAAUUAAAUUAAAUUUACCUCAAAUUUCACCAAUUAAAUGUCACGCCCCAAGACCCACUCCAAGUGCGUGAUGGUCAUUUUACACCUCAAAUCCGAAGGCUUAAAGUGUAACAUGACCAAAACAAUUAUCUUAUAACUGAAAGUUACCAAUUACCAAAUACCUAUUCAAAGUAGUGGAACAAAAUUCUAAAAUCUUCAAAACUUAACUUUAAAACUAAGCAUCGAUCAACCAAAAUCCAUUAUCCAAAUAGAUUGCAAACUCAAACAAUUGAAGUGCUAACAAAAUUUUCAUAAUCUCCAAAUCUCAAUUUCAAACUAUCAUAAUAAUAAUAAUAAUAAUAAAUAAAUAAAUAAAUAAAUAAAAAUUCAAUAUCUAAAUAGCUUCCAAAAACCAAAUAAUCCAAAUGAACAUAAACUUAUAAACUAACAAUGUCCAAAAAUAACAUCUUAAGCAAAAUCCUAAUGAUGACCAUUCCCCGACCUAGCCAUCACUCCUGACCCAAACUAAGGGUACCUGAAAAGUAAUCAAAAAAUAGGAAUGAACUCGAAGCCCAAUAAGGAACAUUAAUGCAGUCCAUGGAUCAAAUAUUUCAAGUUUACUUGCAAAAUAGGAGAUAUUAUAACUAAUUAUUUUCAUAAACCUUUGAGUCAGUUUUGCCAAUACAUUCAAAACUUUUAACUGUACACUUUCAUUUCUAAUUCAAACAUUUUCAUAUCAAAAUCAGUCAAAACAUUCAAAUCAUUUAUUUACUCUAGUCAUCAAACAUUAAAUGAUGCUCAGUUAGGUGAGACUUUUCAAAUAGGUGGCUAGCCUCAAAUUGUUCCUUUAAGGUGGACGGAACCAAACAUUACUAGUACUAGUAACCUUUAACCAAACCCCUAGAGGGUGGGGUUCAAAUCAAUUACAUUCCCCACCAAAAAAUGUAAAGGUCAAUUAUUAUAUCUCAUUGACAAGGGCCAAAAAGUCAAAAGUCAAAAGUCAACUAUUAUAUCCCGUUGACAAGGGCCAAACAAACUAGAGUCAAACACUUAUUUCAAUUUUUCAAAUUUGUAAAACAUAAUAUUUCUAUAUUUCUCUAUUGUAAACAAAAUAUAAGGUUUUAACAUACUUUUCAUGCAAAAUAUAUUUGAUCCAUGCAUAAAAUGAAUAAUAACUCAAAACAUUUCCAAAUGAUGUAUAUAAAAAUUUGUUUCUAAAAAAAAAAAUGCAUUAAUUUCCCUUACCUUAAAAACACUUAGAAACCUUGAAGAGUUUAACCCUAAAAAUCUAACUCCCACCUAACAUAACAAAAAGUUACUAUUAUUACAAAAUUCUUUUUUCAACUUCUUAACCAAUAACAAUUUAAUUAAUUAGUUUCCUUUUAUUUAUUUUAUUAUAUUUUAUUAUUUAUUAAUUAAUUAUUUUUUUUCUAAAAUUUAUCCUCAAUAAUUUGUUUCUAAUUCUUAAACUAAAUUGAAUUUCUUAGAAAUAUUUAUUUGAAAUAAUUUCUCUCGUCACUUUAUAUAGGAAUUUAUUUAUUUGAUCCAAACCCAUCAUUAUGUAGGUUUCCUAGACCUACUUCUUCUUUUAAUAAUAUAAACCUAUAUAUAUAUAUAUAUUAUUUUUUUUUCUUUUUCUUUUUUUUUCCAUCCCAGAUUCUACAUGCCAUUUAACUUUUCAAAGUACACACAUCAAUUCUACAUUUCAUUUGACUUUCCAAAUCACACACACCAAAUGACACCAUCUUCAACAUUUCUUCAUUUUUUAUUUUUUUUUGCUCUCAGUCAACUACAACUUCAAACAUGUAUAAUGUCCAUUUUUUUUUCUUCAAUAGAAAAUUUGGAAUUUUUUUUCUUCAAUAGUACUAACAAAAAUCAAAAAUCAAAAUUUUCAAUCAUUUUUGUUUUUUUGUUUGUUUUUAAAAAAUCAAACCCUAAUCUAGAUUGGGAUUUCUUCAAAAAUUAUCUAAAGUUUUCACAAAAAGUGACGGAUCUAAGAAAAUAAAUUUGAAGAAUUAGAAGAAAAAAAAAAUCUUAUCUAUAGAAAUUUGUUCUUCAAACCCUGAAAUCCGACUUCAACCUUACGUUCUUUGGAAUUCUGUUAAGGAACGCUAUUAAGAAAAUAACAGGAAGAACAGUAAUUUCUAAUUUAUACCUAGGGUAUUUAUUCAAAAAAUUACAUUUUUACCCCUCUUUCCUUUUAUUAAAUUAAUUAAUUAAUUAAAUUAUUAUUAUUAUUUUCCUAACUUAUCCCUAAAAAAAAUUUGGCCAUUACAUUAAAGGUUCUAAAUUUUGCAUUUGUUUUCUAAUUUCCUUUAUCUUCUUUGUGUACUUCCUAAAUAAAAGAAAUUUCCAAAUCAAACCUUAAAUGGAAAAAUAAUAAUAAUAAUUGAAGCCCCAAAGCUAAAAUAUUAUUAUUUUUUAAAUCUUUAUGUACUUUCUGAAAUCAAACCCUAAAUUUCCAAAUCAAAUCUUAAAAGUGGAAAAAAUAUAUUGAAGCCCCAAAUUUGAAAUCCUAAAACCUUUUUUAAACUCUUGAGCACUUCUUAAAAUACCCUUGUGGCAUAUGUUAUGUUGUCUUAUCUCAUCAUAUCAUCUCAUUAAUUGUAGUUAAAUUUUUAAACAUUUUUAUCUCCUCUAAAAAAUAGUAAAUAAUAUUAAACAAGAAAAAUAUAAAGAAAAAUUGUAAAAAAAAAAAAGAAGGGAAUUUACUUCAGGUAACGUUUCAAUCAUUGUUGGUUCAAGAAAAAAAAAGGAAGAAGAAGAUAAACAAAAAUAAAAAAUGGAAAAGUUAUUUAAAAAGGGAUUAUUAUGCUUUAAGGGCAGAUGAGAUUAAUAAUUAGUGUGAAGGGGCUAAACUUUACAUAAUUGAUGGGAAUGAUAUAUAAUUGUAAGGGAGAAAAAUGCUCCUUUAAAUUGUCACAUCAAAUAUAUAUAAUAUUGUAACUAUGUGUAUAUGUGGCUCUAUCACCUCUAGGUUCCAACAAAAAUGAGCAAAUGAGGGAGAAAUCAUUAUGACAAAUGUAUUUAUUCUUGAAACAAAUAAUAUUAACAAAAUUAUAGCAAUCCUAAUUUGGUCUUCACUAGCUUAAUUACUAUUUAUUUUCAUAUUUAUUUUAGGUUGAGUGCAUAUGUGUGUGUGUUUUUUUUAAUUCGUCUUUUCUUUUUCAUUGCAAAAAACAAACUAAAAUAAAUAAAUAAAUUUGAACUAAAUUCUAUUUUUUAACAUAUCUUUUAUUUAUAUUUUUUAUGAUUAAAUAAAAUUUUUAUUCAUCUUUUCUUCUUCACUACAAAAAAAUUAAAUAAAAAAAAUUGGGCUAAAUUCUAUUUUUAAACAUAUAUUAUAUUUAUUAUAAUAUUAUUAAAUAAAUUUUUUAUUCAUUACUUUUCUUCACAAUAAAAAAGUAAAAUAAAUAAAUUUGUAUAUCUUAUAUUUAUAUUUUAUGGUUAAAUAAUUUUUUUUAUUCAAUUUUCUUCUUCACUGCAAAAUAAAUAAAUAAAUAAAUUUGAGCUAAAUUCUAAUUUUUUUUAACAUAUCUUUUUUUUAUGGUUAAAUAAAUUUAUCUAUUUCAAUCUUUAGACUAAUUUGUAAUUAGUUUCUACAUAAUUAGAAUUGAACAAUUUACUUUUUAAAAUUAUUUAAUAGUAUAAGUUCACUUUUUAAAAAAAAAAAAAAAAAAAAAGAAUUGCUAACAUAAAAACUUGUGUGAGGAUAUAAUAAUCAUUCAAAUGGUUUGAACACUAAGUGAUAAAAUUUAACAAUUUUGUGAUAGAUUAUAUAAUCUUAAACUUUAAGAAAAAAAUGUAAAGACCCAAAAGGUCAAUGAAAUAACAAUUUCUAAAUAAUUUUUUUGUCUUAUUUUUAAUUGCAUUUUCCAUGAAAAAUAAAAUAAAAGAAUUGUUGGGAUCUUAGAUCUGAGCAACGGAAACAAUACCAAUUUUUCAAAAAAAUUGAUCUUUAGGGGUUAAAAUACCAACCUUUAGGUUUGGAUGUGUAGGCAUCAAAAUUUUUAGUGAAAUAAAUUAUUACUAAAUUGGUCUUCAAAAAAAUGUGACUCCUUGAUUUGAAAAAAUUUGGGAUUGACAAAUGAUUGGUCCUACACGUUUGAAACGUGGCAUAUGUUGAAAAAUGUGACAUGUGACAAAAUUUGGAAGACUACAAAAUUUAAUCUUCCAAAUAAAAUUAAAUAUUUCAAUUGUAAUCAAAGGAGAAUUAAAAAGAAAAAAAGAAAAAAAGAAAAAAAAUUCUCUUGUUGACAAAUUCUUAAAGGAAAUAAAUAUUUCAACUAAAGUCAAAAGAGAAUAAANNNNNNNNNNNNNNNNNNNNNNNNNNNNNNNNNNNNNNNNNNNNNNNNNNNNNNNNNNNNNNNNNNNNNNNNNNNNNNNNNNNNNNNNNNNNNNNNNNNNNNNNNNNNNNNNNNNNNNNNNNNNNNNNNNNNNNNNNNNNNNNNNNNNNNNNNNNNNNNNNNNNNNNNNNNNNNNNNNNNNNNNNNNNNNNNNNNNNNNNNNNNNNNNNNNNNNNNNNNNNNNNNNNNNNNNNNNNNNNNNNNNNNNNNNNNNNNNNNNNNNNNNNNNNNNNNNNNNNNNNNNNNNNNNNNNNNNNNNNNNNNNNNNNNNNNNNNNNNNNNNNNNNNNNNNNNNNNNNNNNNNNNNNNNNNNNNNNNNNNNNNNNNNNNNNNNNNNNNNNNNNNNNNNNNNNNNNNNNNNNNNNNNNNNNNNNNNNNNNNNNNNNNNNNNNNNNNNNNNNNNNNNNNNNNNNNNNNNNNNNNNNNNNNNNNNNNNNNNNNNNNNUACAUGGACCUUUUGUUAAUUUGGGGGCCCAUCUACCCCCAAAACAUAAUUCUCCCUAAUAAAUAAAUAAAUAUUCUUUUGUUGGAAAAUUUCCUUAAUGAAGAAGACAAGUUACUAAAAUCAAGCAACUAAAUCUUAGGGAAUUCCAAAAUUUAACUCCCUAAUUUUACUUAUAAAUAGGGUGAUUUCCUUCAAUGCAGAGACUUCUAAAGUUCUUCAAAAACAACUUCACAUAAGAAAUGAUGUAUCACAAAGAAGAAAAAGGUUCACAAAAUUUUCCUACAAGUCUAAGAAAUCGUAGAAGAACUACACGUAUUCUUCGCCUUUCAACAAGGCCAUUUGGGAAUAAGCCACUUUGGGCCCUUGACUAACUUUGAAAACAAAGAAAACAUCUUCAUCCUCUCCACACACAAUUUUCGCUAUUCAAUGAAUUCAUUCGAGAACAAGCCACUUGUGGUCCUUAAUUGAUUUCUAAAAUCAAAGAAAUAGUUUCAUCAUCACCUUCCAAAUUGUGAUCAAGGUGAAAGAAUAAUAGAGAUACAUUCUUUUGUAAAGAAUAUUAUCACAAAGAUUGUACCCCACAAUUUAUCAAUUUUAAUAAAAAUAUUUUGUUUGCAUUAUUUUUCCUCUUGUUUGCCUACGUGCAAGAUUUUCGCGAAGUGCAUAAAAAAUGUUUCCAAACCUUAAAUCUAAGUGUUGAAUAAUCAAAUCAAUGUUGUUGGAAGUCUCGUAAACCCAUGAUUUUAUGCCUAAUAGCUCUUCCUUGAUCUUGAUACACUUUCGGUGGUAAGGAAGAAAGGUGGAGGUUAUGACUCUCUUUCUUUACAACUCUAUGGAAAAGCUAUGGAAACUUUAACACCUAAGGGGGUAUUUAUAGAGUUCCCUAAUGGGCUUAAGUGACUCAAGUCCACUAAGGGCUUGGUCACUUAAUCUAGCCCAAAAUACAUCUUAUUUGAUUAAUUAACCCAACAUGCUUACUAAUUAAUUAAUUAGCCCAAUUCAAAGACCUUAUUCACUUACCCUUAAGCAACCUUGUGUAAUUAACAACAUGCUUUAUGCACAAAAGUGAACCUAGAGUCAAUCUAACCCUCACAAACUAUGCUAACAAGGUAUAUGAGCUCAAGCAAGGACUACUAGAACCCAUAGAACAGUACUAGUUCUCUCAUAAUCCAAUUUGAAAGUUGAUUCAACAUCCCACUAUAAAGAAUCAACUGCACUCCAAUACCUUAUGUAAAUAACAAUGAGACACUAAGCGCUCAGGUCUGUAUUCAAUUUCCCUAUGUAGUUUAAUAAGGUGAAAGUUAUCAGUCUUUCAAGACUACUUUUAUUAUCUAUGAGUUACAAAUCCUCUUAUUUUAUAUUCAAUUGAUAUAUAUUAGCUCUCAAUUAUGUCAAGUUCCACUUAAGAAACUACUAUGGUCACAGUUUACAUGAACAUGUCUUCUUAAGAUCACCCAAUGAGACACUUUGUCUCAAUCCCAUGAAGACUUUAAUACAUAAGUGUUAAAAAUACGAUAUCGCUUUGCAUCAAGGUUACAACUUGAUUACAUGAGAGUCAAACUUUAAAUAUUCAUAUAUAUAUAUAUAUAUAUAUAUAUAUAUAUAUAUAUAUUUUAUGGAUAUUUAAGUUUAUUAAAAAUUCUUCCUCAAGUUUUAAGGUGAUUUUUAUUUUUUUUAAAUUACAUGAAAGCAAAUUCAUCUUUGUAAACGAUAAAGAUUGACACAUGUUCAAGAUAAUGAAGGUUUAUUAUACAACUCCACUAUAACAUAUCUUUAUAUAUGUUAAGGAGUCUUCCACGUCAUCAUCCUCAAGGUGAGUCGUCCAUACAAAGUUGUCUUCAUUGUGUGCCAUCUACAUAUCAUGGUGCGGUUCUACUAGUGCUACUCCUUACAUGCUCCCACAUCCCCAUGCUCCAAGAAUGAAAGACCUCUCUAAGACAGUACAAGUUGGAUUUCUUAAAUAAUUGUCCUCUUUAUAUAAAAAAAUAUGGAAGAUAAAUUGGAAAGGAAGAUGUCUAUGUAAAAAGGAAAGUGGAUGUUCAAAUUAGAAAAUUUCUUAUUAACACAAUAUAUUUCUUUGAUACCAAGUGGAAAGCAAGAAAGGAAACAAAAUAGUGUUUGGUAAAAGUAGGAAAAAGAUAUUUUUGAAAUAGGAAACUUCCUAUUAAAAUAUUUCUCUGAAAAUAGAAUAAAAAUUCAAAGAAAAAGAAAGGUUAAACUUCAAGACCCACCUCGUAGAUAUUCUAGGGCAUGUACGUGAUAUGUCUUGAAGUGGAGGCAUUUAUUGACAUCAAAAUUUUUAGUGAAUUAAAUUAUCACUAAAUUGGUCUUCAAAAUUAUGGCUUCUCAAUUCAACAAAAUUUUAGUUUGACAAGUGAUGAGUCAUAUACAUAUUUGACAUAUGACAUAUAUUCAAAAGGUGAUACGUGGAAAAAUUUGGAAGACCACUAAAUUUUGUCUUGUAAAUAAAAUCAAAUUUUCCAAUUGAAGUCAAAAGAGAAUAUAUGUAUUGAAGGGGAAAAACUCGGAUCUCUCUGUUUCCCAAGCUCGGAUUAGGUUAGGAACAUGCAUAACUAUCCUAAGCCUUUUUUAAAUCCUAUGCACAACGAAAAAUAACAUUUUUAAACUUUAAAGGGAUUUAAAAAGUGCUAACAAAAACCAUCCAUCAAAUUUGGAUGUUCCCAAAUCAAAUCCACAUGAUGAAGAUGAAAAACGGAAUCACAAAAGUCUCAUAAACCCGAAGUCUUCCAUCCGAUGAUGCGAACCUUGAUCUUGACACACUUUUAGUGGGGAUGGAAAGGAGGAUGAAGCCUAUGACUCUUCCUUUCUCUCUCUAGAGAUGGAAGGUGACUCUUUAGAAAAAAUUGUAUGAACUUUAACCCUUAAGAGGGUAUUUAUAGGGUUUUCUAUUAGGCAUAAGUGACUUGAGCCCACUAAGGGCUUGGGUCACUUAAUCUAACCCAAAAUGGGUCAUAAUUGAUUAAUUAACCCAAUAGGGCCUACUAAUUAAUCAAUUAGCCUAAUCUAGAGAUUUUGUGUAACCUUGCGUAAUUACAAAGAUGCUCUUAUGCACAAAAGUGAACUUAAAACCAAUUCAACUCUCAUAACCCAUGGUAACAAGGUAUAUGAGCUCAGAGCAGGGACCACUGGGACCCAUAGGAGUACUAGUUUCCCCAUAAUCUAAUUCUAAAGUUGAUUCAAUAUUCCACUAUAGAGAAUUAAUUGAACUUCAGUAUCCUAUAUAAAUAAUAAUGAGACACUAAGUGCUCAGGUUCGUGACCUGCUAUCCAUUGUGUUUAGUCUCCUCAUGAAUUGGUGUUCGUAGUCUAACAAUGUGAAAACUAUCAUCCUUUCAUGACUACCUUUACCAUCCUUGAGUUACAAAUCCUCCUAUUGUGUAUUCAAUUGCCAUAUCUUAACUUUCAAAGAGCCUAUGUCAAGUUCAACUUAAGGAACUAUUAUAACCAUAGUUUCCAUGAAAACACUUCCUUAGGAUCACGCAAGGGGACACAUUGUCUCAAUCCCAAGAGAUAUCAUGGUGCCUUUAUUGAGAAUACCUAUUGCUAUUGACUUUCAUCAAUAGUGACCCAAUACAUAGGGAAUAUAUUAUCAACUUACGAUUUUACCCGUAAGUCAAAAUCAUUGCUAACUUUAGAACAAGUUCAAUAUUCUCUCAAGGUUGAGAGACAACACAAUGAAGCAACUUAGUGAGGUCAUGAUUAUUUAAUAGCCUUAAGUCAUGACUCACUGUAGGUCCUAUCCAAUGUGUAACUAUACAAACUAGUGCACUCACCAUAGGAAACUCAUCCCAAUAGCCAAGACCAGUCAUCCCUCUAAUUAGGAGGUGGUGCACUACAACCUCUAAUGGGUUGCUUAGACCCAUGGGUUGGUUUAUCUAUUUGUAAGGAACUCAUGACUUAGAUCUUCUGUGUAACACAUAAGCACUUAAGUCACGUACAGUGCAAAAGAUGCAGACAAGAAUGCUCAUAAAGUAUAAUACAUAGAAUAAGGAUAAAUAAAAGUGAAACUAGAACAUCAUUAAAUAAAUAAUGAAUUCCAAAUUUAUUACAUCAUGUCAUACUUUUAAGGGCUUUAUCAUUCCAAAUUUGUUCAAUAUUUGCAAAUGAAGAUCGACGAGUAUUUAAGAUGGCGAGAGUCCAUUAUAUGACUCCACUAUAACAUAUCUUUAUAUAUGUUAAGGAGUUGUGCAUAUCAUCAUCCUCAUGGUGAGUCAUCCAUACAAAAUCAUCUUCAUUGUGUGUCAUCCACGCAUCAUGGUGUAGCUUCACUAGUGCUACUCCACGCAUGCCCCCAAAUCCCCAUGCUCUAAGGAUGAAAGACUUCUCUAAGAGAGUUCAAGAUGGAUUUCUUAAAUUGUUGUCUUCUUUACAUAAAAAAAAAUAAAAAAUUGGAGGAUAAAUUGGAAAGGAAAAUGCUUAUGUAAAAAGAAAAGUAGAUGUUCAAAUUAGAAAUUUUCCUAUUAAUACAAUAUCGUUCUUUGAUACCAUAUGGAAAUAAAGGAAGAAAACAAAAUAAUAUUUGGAAAAAGUAAGAAAGGGAUAUUUUUGAAACAGGAAAUUUCUUAUUAAAAUAUUUAUUUGAAAAAAAAAGAAGAAAUUCUUAGAAAAGGGAAGGUUAAACUUCAAGACCCAUCUUGUAGACAUUGCAAGGCAUGUACGUGAUACAUCUUGAAGUGGGGACGGGGCAUUUGUGGACAUCAAAAUUUUUAAUGACUUAAAUUAUCACUAAAUUGGUCUUUAGAAUUGUGGCUUCUCAAUUCAACAAAAUUUUGGCUUGACAAGUGAUGGGUCAUACACAUAUUUGACAUAUGACAUAUAUUCAAAAGGUGACACAUGACAAAAUUUGGAAGACUACAAAAUUUGGUCUUACAAACAAAACAAAAUUUUCAAAAAGCUUUACAAAAUUUCCCUUCAAGCCCAAGAAAUCAUAGAAGAACUAUACACGUGUUCAUUUUCUUUCAACAAAGUCAUUUGGGAAUAAGUUACUUACAAAGAAAACAUCUUCAUCGUCUAUACAUGUGAUUUUCAUUGUUCAAUGAGUUCAUUUGGAAACAAACCACUUGUGAUCCUUGAUUGAUCUUUGAAAUCAAGAAAAUGUUUUCAUCAUCUUUCAAAUUAUGAUCAAGGCAAAAGAAUCAAAGAAAAAUAUUCUUUUGUAAAAGAAUAUUACAUAAAGAUUGUGUCCCCAAAAUUAUUAAUUUUAAUAAAAUUUUUGUUUGCAUUAUUUUUCCAUUGUUUUGCAAGCCUUCACGAAAUUUGUACAUAUAUAAAUAAAUAUAAUAUGAUAGUAAGUAUUAAUAUUAUGUAAACAAAUAAGCAUCCUAAAUUUAAAAUAUAAUAUAUAUUUUUUUAACCUUUCAAUAUCUAUGAAAAUUAUGCAAAGAUACAUAACUAUAAAUUUAUUAAACUCUUUUAUUUAAAAAAAUUUAACUAUAUGUUCUAAAAUGCUAAAAUAUUAUAUUUUAUUACCACAUGCAAUGCACAUAUUUUUAGACUAGUACUCAUAAAAAUACAACCCUAGAACCACAUAACUCACAAAGUAAAAGAAAAUUAAAACAAAUAAAAGACAAGAAAGAAUAACAAAAAAGCAAAAAACACAAUUGCCAGUUGUAGUUCACCCAAUUCCCAAUAUUCCAAUCAUGAGAAAGAAUAAAUUUUUUCUCAUUAUAUAAUUUCAUACAUAAAAAACUAAUUAUUUAGUUAUUAUAUAUGAAAAUCCUUAUAAAGAAUAUCCUAAUAAAAAAAUUGUAUAUAUAUAUAUAAAGAGCAAAAUUUAAACAAAUAUAUGAUUUAUAAUAAUAAUAAUUUCACAUAUGAAAUUAAUUAAGGAAAAAUUGUAAGCAUAAAUAUUAUAUGAGAAAUUAAUUUCUUAACUAUUAAAGAUACAAAAUAAUACAAAACUCCUUAUAAAGAAUAUAUCCUAAUAAAAAUAUAAAUAAAUUAUUUAUUAUAUUGUUAGAAGAUAUUUUUGGUAUAAAAGAUGUAUAAAAUAUGAGCCCAAAAACCUGGCUUUCUAGCCUAAAAAAGAAAUGUUCAUUUGCAAUAGAAGAUUUAUACAUGUAUUCCACCAAUUACUUAUAUAUGAAGUGUCAUGUGAAGCAUUCCAUCUUAUUUCUUUUCAAAAAGGCUCUUAAGGGUAUUUUGGACAUUUAUGACAUAUAGGCUUUUCAAAUAUGAAAAAGUGGGUUUUCACUCACUAAUUUGAAAAAAUAUAGAAAAAAGAACUCAAAAUUUAUCAUAUUUAUCUUCACCCAUUUAAAAAUAUUUUAAGAUACAUGUAUUUUUUUCCUAAGUACUUAUUUCCUAAAAUGACUCUUUUAUAUGUUAAUAAUACAAAUUAAUUAUUUUUUCAACGUGAGAAUUGAUUUGAGAUUAAUAAAAUAAGAAAUUUAAAAAUAAAAAAUACAAUUUAAAAAAAAAAACUUUAAAGCUAAAAAUUUAAAAAUAAAAUAUUAACUUUCAUUUAAUUAAAACGCUUUAGUACAAAAUAUAAAUAUCCAGAAAAAGUUGAAAAUACAAUGGGAGUAAAUAUUUUAUUUUUUAAUUUUUAAGUUUUUAUUUUUUUUAUUGUAUUUGAGUUUUAAUUGUAUUUUUUAUUUUUUAAAUUUCUUAUUUUAUUGUUGAUGUCAACUAACAAAAUUUUUAUUCAAUUUUAUUAAAUAAAAUGAGAAGAUUAGAGGAUUUACAUAAUAUGCCAUAUAAAAUCAUUAUUAACUAGGAGAUUAGAAAGAUUUUAUUUAUUAUUUGAGAAUCCUCUAAAAAUUUUCCACAAUAAUUUCUAUCUCAUAUAUUUAUUUGUAAAACACUUUUAUCAAAUUAAUUUUGGAUAAUUUUAUUUAAUAUUAUCACAUAAAAGGGUAUUUUAGAAAAUAAUUAUUUGAGUUAUAAAAAAUUGCAUAUAUUUUAAAAUAUUUUUAAAUGAACGAAAAUAAAACUGAUUUAUAAAAAUUGAAGUUCUUUUUUCUAUAUUUUUUCAAAUUAAAGAAUCAAAACCCUCUUUUACCUUUCAAUAUCCUCCAUAGCAAUUUUAUAAGUUCUUCUAAAUUUUCACACUAAUUAUGCAAAGUUUAACUCAUUUUCUAGAAUUAUAAGUUCCAUCAAACCCUAAAGCGUAAUUCUCCAUUUCUUUAAAUAUAAAAUGACCUUGUUUCUUGUUCUUUUUUUUCUUUUUUUUUUCUUAAGGGAGAAUUAUGCUCUAGGUUUGAUGGCACUAAAAAUUUCAUAAAAAGAGUUGAACUUUGCAUAAUUAGUGUGAAAAGUUAGAGGGACUAUAGAGGAUAUUUGAAAAGUCUAUACGUUAUAAAUGCCCAAAAUACCUUUAAGAGCCUUUUUGGAAAAAAAAAUAAGGUGGAAUCCUUGACAUGACAUUUCAUAUAUAAGUUAUUGGUGGGAUACAUGUAUAGAUCUUCUAUUUCGGAGGAGCCUCUCUUUUUUAGACUAACAAGCUAUGUUUUUGGGUCUAAAGUCCACAAAAGAUGUAAAAUUCAAUUUAAAAGUUAAUAAAUAUUUAUAAUUGAGUUAAAUGAUGUGAUUUUCUCAUAAUAUCAAAAAUACCCAAAUGAUAUGAAAAUAGUAUAAAAUGAAUUUAUAUUAUUUAACUAUGUUGUAUCAUUUACAAUGCACCAUACUUUUUUUUUUCUUUAGGCUUUUAAUUCUCUAGUGAUUUAUUUUUUAAAAUGAUAAAAAUAAAUAAAUUAAACCCAUAUAGAAAAUAAAAUCUUGAUUUGAAAAGUUUAUUUCAACAUAUAACCUUAAAUUAUUUUUCAAAAUACAAUUUAAAAUGAAAAUGUUAAAAUUAUUUUAAAUGAUCUUGAUAUUAUUUUUUAUUUCAUAUAAUAACAAUAUAUAUGAUUCGUCCCCAUUGCAGUCAUGCCAUUUGAUUCUAACUCAGACGGGUGUUAUCAACAAAGUUUAUAAAACCUAAAUCACCUCACACUAUGGUAGCAUAGCUAACAUAGUAUAGUGGCUCUAGGAUUGUCCACAAGGAUGGGUUUUCAUCGUAUAGUUGACAUUAGUGAAGGAAAUAACAUGGUGCUCUUUCUUAUGAAAGUUAGCUUUUAAAGAGAAUGGAAUUGUGGUUGCAAAGAUUGAUUUUAAGUUAAGCAAAAACAGUAGGUGAAAUUUACUAUAAAGAACAGGUCUCUCGAAGCUUCAGGUCAUUAGGAUCAAGUUCCUUAGGCAAAUGGGGAGAUUUCAGAUCUUCUCCUCGCAUUGGGGAUAAUAACAUAAAAAAUGGUUAUCUCCCGAACCAGUUUUAUAUUUAGCAAUUAAGAUUCGAUCCAAAGGUUUCAUGAGAAAUGGUAAUUGCUUCCCAUUAAUGGCUUCAAACACUAAAGACUUUCACCUUAAACCACCUUCCAAUGGCUCGUAAAUGAUAACUAAUAGACAUCCAUGGAGCUAGCAAUAAGCAUCCAUGGAAUCUGAAAAGCUUACCAAGUAUUGGUCAUUCAAGGUGCUUUUAAGGGAUUUACAGCUAAACCUUGAAAUACAAACCAUUGAUGAUUAACAACUACUGUCAUUUAUAGCAAGGACAACUCCCACCUUUGCAUUCAGGUCCUUCACCUAACUUCCAUCACUCCAAGAAACAUAAAACCUAGCCACUCAUCUCCUGAGAAAUCAUCAUCAGAGGUUGCUUGGCUAGAAAGAAAAGUGAAAACAAAAUAAAAAGGUAAGGUAGAGCAAAAGCUUUGUAUAUUUCUUACUACAAGAAAUUUACAAGUGUUUAAUGAAAAACAUACAUAACAACAUCAUCUUGUCUCUCUCUUUAUAUAUAAGCUACCUAAAAGAUAUAUAAAAAGAUACAAAAGAAAAUAUCUAGGUUGAUUAUAAGGAGAAACUAGGAAAUUACACAAAAUAUCUAAAGAUAAAAAUCUAACGAAGUCGAUGCACAGGAAAAUUUUUUAUACCAUGCGAAAUUUGGCAUGGUAUGCGAAAUCCUUGGCUGCCUCAAGUGGUUUCGUAGGGUGUGUGAAAUUUCGCACAGCCAUGCGAAACUUCUGAUUGUUGGAUUUCUUCCUCUGAUUCUCUUCCUUGCAUCUCUGAUUAGCUUGACAAAAGGCUAUGAAGUGCUCCAAAGCUUGGAUUCUUCAUGUAUUUGAGCUUUAACUUGCUUUGCCAUAGAUUUCACCAACUUCUCCCUCAUUCUUGGCUUGUUUUAAUGAUCAAAAAGCUACAAAAAACACCAAAACUUGCCAAAAACUGAUUAGUAACCCUUGCUAGGUUCCUUAAUGUGCCAAUUGAGUUAAAAGGCAUUAACUACUACUCAAAAGUGUUUAAAACAAUUAGUUUCAAGCUAUAAAAAGAGUACUUUUUGAGUAGUAAUCAAUAUAUAUAUAUACAUAAUGAAAAUUCUAAAAUAUAUACAAAAAAAUCUUUAAAAAAAAUAAUUAUUGCUCUCUUUCAAAUAUAUGAAAAUUACAUUUUAAAAAUUCUUUUAUUAAUAUUAAAUUUUAAGGAAAGUUUUAUUAAUUACUUUCAACAAUGUUACUAAAAUGUUAUAAUAAUAAUAAUAAUAAGAAAAUAAAAUAAGAAAAUAAAAAUAAAACUAAAAAUAAAUUUAAAUUAUAGAAAAUAUUUGUUUUUACUUAAAAUUUAACUUAUUCAAUUAUAAAAUAUAAAAAUUAAAUUAAAUUAGAAAAAAUAAAACUAAAAGUCUAUAAAUAUGCCUAUUGUCCUUUCCUUUUUCAAAUUUUUUAAUAAAAAGAGAAAUGAAAAAAAAAUAUUAAAAUAUUGUUAGAAAAAAAAUUAAAAUGGUGAAAUAAAUGUGAUUAUUGUAGAUAAAAAAAUUGAGAGUAGAUGAGUGAGAGUAAAGAAAAAUGGAAAGAUUAUAUAAAAGUCAAAGAAUUAGGAGGAUGAGAUUGAUAAAGACAUUUACUUUCCAGAUUUUUUUUAAUGGUAUUUUUGUCUUUCAUAUUUCAUGUCUUUAGCAUCAAUUAUGCUAAAUAUGUGGACCUUAUAUUUAUUAUCUGCUUUAACUAACCCUAAAUAGUAAUUGUCCUUUAAAGAAAUAAUGUCACCUUUAACAUAAUGAAGAACCAUGUAAACAUGUCCUGAUUACAAAUUGUGGAUGAAAAGAGAACCCAAAAAGUGCAUGGUCACAGAAAGUAUGUUUUGAGGAAAAUAAUUAUCAUUUUAUACACUGGAAUAGUGCUUUGCCAUACCUUGCCCUAAAAUGCCCUUAUAUGUUAGUCCAACUCACAUGAUGACGGGAUAUUGUUCAACCAACAAAAACGCUUUAAGCUCAAAACAGUAUUACUUUAAGACCAAAAUAAUGCUACUUUAAAACUAAAACAAUAUUACUUCAAGACCAAAACACAUGUAAGGAUAUUUUGGAAUAAUGCUAAGUGGACACUAAUCCGUUGCAUAAAAUGAAAAUUAUUUUCUUAGGUUUUUUUUUCAUCUAUAUUUUGUAAACCAGACAUGUUUACAUAACUCCCUCUUAACACAACAAGUGUCAGUGUAAUUUUCAUAAGUCUAAGGUAUUCAAAUAUAAUUUUCAAAUACCUCGAGAGGUUUGUGUAAUUUUACCAAAAUUCACAUGCUAAUUCACCUACUCCCAAACUUGCAUUAUUGAUUUUAGAAAGGCACAAAAACAUUUUGUUUAUUGAAUAAUGAGGUUCAUGUGUUAUAUUAAUACAAGUAAGGAUUUCAAUACAAUCAUCGGCAUGUGGGUCACAUAAACACAAACAUGUGAUAGUUUUUAACUAAAAAAGAAAAAAAAAAUUGUCUUCUGAUGAUGUAAUUUUCACACAUUUAUCUACAAACAAGUGGGAUUUGAAUAGCUUCCAAUAUUUAUAUGUUUUAUUUAUAAGUAAAACUACUUAAGAAAAUAGACAUGAAGCUAAAGCAAUUAUGCUUUGCUUAGUCAAUCACUAAAAAUCAUAGGCUUAGCAAUUUGAAUCAAGGGUUCCAAGCAAUCCACCAAAAACUUCUGAGCGAACAUGAAAGAGUAGGUCGAAUUGGAAAUCCUCAACUCGUACAUAAGCUCCGACGACACCUCAUCCGGACCGUAUAAACGAGGGUGGCCAUCAAGAUUGCCAGUCUAAUUGACCCGAGUGAGGGUAUAGUGGGUGCAGCCAAGGGGAUCUUCCAUAGACAAGAACGUAGGAAAGUAAUGCUCCUCUGGGUAACAAGUGUGUCUGUUGAAGCACGGUAGCUUGAAUUUCCUCCACAAUUUUUUCUCUUUCACCACCAGUGUUCAAAAAAUCGGCCGAGUUCGAUACGACUCGGCCGAGUUGUAUAAAAAAAAUUCAACAGAUUAUCUGCAAAAAGCCCCACAACAAGUCUUGAUUUUUCAGAGAAAUCAGAGAUUCCUUUGCAAAAGAAAACCUAUGAAACCUAUGAAAAUUUUUAAAAAAACCCGUGAAGAUUUGAAACAAACCUAUGAGUCUGUGACCCUUUCAAAAGCCUUUAAAAAGAGGCUCGGUUGAAGAAAUCCACCAUUUUCGGAGUCUCUAAUCUUCAUCUUUGGUGCGGUGCCUAGUGGAAGGUAGCAGAUCGUGGUCCAAUAGUCUGAGAGCGAGAGGUUGCGUCUUCGUGGUUUAGGGAAGAAGACAGAGGGCUGCAUCAGCGCAUCAGAGCAUCUUCGUGGUGUUGCUGUGUUGGGGAAGAAGAAGAAGAGGGCAAAACGUCUUCGUGGUGUUGCUGUGUAGGGGGUGUUGCUGUUUUGGGGAAAAAGAAGAAGACAAGCAAAACGCGGUGUUGUUGGGGAAGAAGAAGAAACAGAGGGCAAGGGGUUAGGUCAGAGGGUUUGAUCGGCAAGUAAUAAAUUAAUAUAUGAAUUCAUUUUCAAAUAUUGUUUAAUAUUGUUGCUAUAUUGUUGCUAUAUAUAUGAUAUGUUAUUCAUUUUCAAUUUAAUAUAUGUAAUCUCUGUAUAUAAUUGAAUAUUGUUGCUAUAUAUAAUUUGUUAUUCAUUUUCAAAUAUUGUUGCUAUAUAUCUUAUAAAUUAAUAAUUUUAAAUUAUUUCAUGAAUUUUUUAAUUUUUAAAAAUAAUUUUGAAAUUAAAAAACCAAUCUAAUUAAUUACAUAUAAAAUAAUUUUUUUUAUAAUAUUAUGUUGAUAAUUCAAUUCUAAAUGAGUACAUGGAAUGAAAAUUUUGACUCAUUUUUAAAAAGUUAAACUUUAUUAAUUAUUCAAUUUAAAUAAAAUAUAGUGAAAAAUUAUUAGUUUAAAUAUUUAUUAUUAAUUUUUAACCCAAAAAAUGAUAAAGAUGUUAAUAUUUUUAUGUUUCUAACGUAUGCUAAAAUAGUAUUUUUUUUUUUAUAAAAAUAAAAUAAAAUAAACCUAUGAUUUUAUUAUAAUAUCAUAUAUAUAAUAUGUUAUUCCUUUUCAAAUUAAUAUAUAUAAUCUCUAUAUAUGGUUUAAUAUUGUUGCUAUAUAUAAUCUAUUAUUUCUUUUCAAAUACUGUUGCUAUAUGUCUUAUAAACUAAAUAAGACAAAAUUAAUAAUUUUAAAUUAUUUCAUGAAUUUUUUAAUUUUUAAAAAUAAUUUUGAAAUUAAAAAACCAAUCUAAUUAAUUACAUAUAAAAUAAUUUUUUUUAUAAUAUUAUGUUGAUAAUUCAAUUCUAAAUGAGUACAUGGAAUGAAAAUUUUGACUCAUUUUUAAAAAGUUAAACUUUAUUAAUUAUUCAAUUUAAAUAAAAUAUUAUGAAAAAUUAUUACUUUAAAUAUUUAUUAUUAAUUUUUAACCCAAAAAAUGAUAAAGAUGUUAAUAUUUUUAUGUUUCUAACAUAUGCUAAAAUAAUAUUUUUUUUAUAAAAAUAAAAUAAAAUAAACCUAUGAUUUUAUUAUAAUAUCAUAUAUAUAUAUAUAUAUAUAUACAUAUAAUAUGUUAUUCCUUUUCAAAUUAAUAUAUAUAAUCUCUAUAUAUGGUUUAAUAUUGUUGCUAUAUAUAAUCUAUUAUUUCUUUUCAAAUAUUGUUGCUAUAUGUCUUAUAAACUAAAUAAGACAUAAUUAAUAAUUUUAAAUUAUUUCAUGAAUUUUUAAAAUUUUAAAAAUAUAAUGUACAAGAAAUUGUCUUGAAUACUUUAAAAAUAUCACUCAAUUUUCUAUUAGUAUAAAUAAAUUUACAUUAUAUUAGUGACAAAAAAAUUUCCCUAUUACUCAAUUACAUUAAUACUAUAUUGCAAAAUUAAAUUACUAUACAAAAUUAAUAAUUAUUGAAAUUUUUUUUCUUCAAAUAAUCAUAAAUGAUUUAAUAAUACGGAAUGAAGGGUAUGCAUUUACAUGGUCAAUUACAUUGAUUUUAAUUUAAAAAAAACAUAUAAAUAAGUGGAAAACAAAAGAUGAUGAACUUAGGUGAUAUCAUGUUUAUUGAUUUUUUAGGACAAUUUAUUUUUAUAUGGUAACAAUAUGAAACAUAUAAGUGAGUGGAAAAUUGAAUAUUAUAAUUCUUAUAUAAAUGUGUUUAUAUAUAUUCAAUUUGAAAAGUAAAUUGUUUUCCUUUUAUACAUGGUUAGGUUAAAUUUUCAAAAUGGUUUCAAAACAUGAUAUUGGUUGGGAGCAUGCAGAACCUGUUGGUGGUAGUAGAAGAACCACAAAGUGUAAAUAUUGUGGGAAAGUUAUACAUGGCGGUAUAACAAGAUUAAAGCAACACAUCGCACAUAUAUCCGGACAAGUGGAAGCAUGUCCACGUGUACCGGUAAAAGUGUCACAUAGUGUUAGACAACAUAUGUCUAAUACUUCAAAAGAAAAGGCACAGUUAAAGAAAAAAAAGAACGACUUUUAAAUUCCUUAAAUAGAGAAAAUUUCUAUGAAAUUGAUGAGGGUGAUUCUAAUGAUGAAAUUGAGGAAGUUGCUAGGGCUUAUUUUGAAAGAAGACAAAUGAAACAAGCAAUGAAAGAAAGUCGUCGAAUUUUUGAAGAAGGUGGACAAGAGCAUCAGAAGGGUGGUAGUUCCUCACAACCUUCUAAUGCUAGGAUUAAGCGCGGACUGACACGUAGCUUCAAUGUAAGAGAAGGAACUAGCAUACCUCCAAAAGGAAUUGAUCCCUACAUGUUCCCAUCAAAGUAGAAAUCAAUAAAAAAAACUUGUUUUCUACUGAAGGUGUGAAGAAAGUGGGUAAAGCUAUUUCUAAAUUCUUUCUCUUUAAUGCAAUACCCUUUAAUGCAACUGACAGUGAGCCUUAUUAUCAAUCAAUGAUUGAUACCAUAGCAGAAGCAGGUCCAGGCAUCAAGGGUCCCACGGGAUACCAAAUUGGAAAUACAUAUUUGGAAGAGGAGGGGCAAGAGCUUGAAGUAUACAUAACAACAUUGAAGGUUAAAUGGCCUAUAUAUGGGUGAACAAUCAUGUGUGAUGGUUGGAAUUCUAGGACUAGAAAGCCUAUCAUCAAUUUCAUGAUUUAUUGUGAUAGAAGUAUGAUAUACCAUUCUUCAGUUGACACUACCAACAUACCUAAGACAACAAACUACAUCUUUUCCCUUAUGGAUAAAGUUGUAGAGGAGGUUGGGGAGGAAAAUGUUGUUUAAGUAGUCACUGAUAAUGAGGCAAGUUUUAAAGCAGCCGAUAUGUUGUUGAUGGAGAAGUGGAAGCAUUUGUUUUGGUCUCCUUGUGCAGCCCACUGUAUUGAUUUAAUGCUUGAAGAUAUUGGAAGCAUGAAGCAGAUUAAGGAGACAUUAGAUCAAGCUAAGAUGAUCAUAGGAUUUAUUUAUAAUAGCUUGAAAGUGGUGAAUUUGAUGAAAGUGUUCACCAAGGAUAGAGAUCUGUUAAGGCCAGGAAUAACCCGUUUUGCCAUUGAAUUCAUUUCACUUGAGAGUCUUAUACGUUAUGAGGCUGAUUUGAAGAGAAUGUGCACAACAAAUGAGUGGCAUGAAUUCAAUAAAGAUAGGAGCAGAAAAAGUGUAAGAGAUAAGGUAUCCAACUUUAUCUUAACUGAUCGAUUUUGGAAGAAGGCCGGAGAAGUUCAAACCAUCAUGGAACCUCUCGUCAAAGUAUUGAAAUUGGUUGAUCAAGAUAAAAAGCCCACACUAUCAAUCAUUUAUGAAGCAAUGGAUAGAGCUAAAUUGGCUAUCAAGGCAUCGGUCAAGCAAUGGGAAAAGUAUUGGGAAGUCAUUGAUAGAAAGUGGGAAGGUCAAUUGCACAGACAUUUGCAUGCUGCAGGUAAUAAAAAAAUUCUUUAUAUAUUUUUUAUUAUUUUUUUCAAAUACAAAUUAUUAUAAACUGAUCAUUAUUUAACUUAUGACAACAUAUUUUUUAAAUCCAAUGUUCCAAUAUUCAAAGCAUUUCUCCAACCAUCUGGAAAUUAAAGUUGGAUUAAAGGAGGUUACCAAGAUAUUAGAGCCAGAUUUGGAUAGACAAGCAAAAGCUAUUAACGAGGUAUAAUAAUAGUUUGUGACCUUAAUAUAAUGCAUUUUGUAUAUGUAAUGUGUAUUAACAAAAAAAAAAAUUGUUAAUGAUGUAGGUGAAAUUAUUUGUUGACAGCCAAGGAGAAUUUGGAAGUGCACUCACAAAGAAAGCAAUAAAUCAAUCUCUUCCAGGUACUCAAUACAUUUAUGUCAAUUACAAAUAAGAAAUUAUCAUCAUUUUUUGUUAAAUAUAUCAUAGUGAUUAAUAAGUAUGCAUUUUCUUUAUUAUAGCUGAAUGGUGGAACAACUAUGGCGACGAAGGUCCACAUCUACAAAAGAUUGUUGUUAAAAUUUUAAGCCAAACUUGUUCUUCAUCAAGUUGUGAAAGAAAUUGGAGCACAUGGUCAUUAAUUCACACAAAGUUGCGCAACUGUUUGGCAAUGAAAAAGUUGCAUAAGUUAGUUUAUGUGCACUACAAUAUGCGACUUCGAGUUAAGAAUUUGAUGCAAGAACGAAGCAAUGAAGAUUUAUACAAUCCAAUUGAUCUGAAUCAUAUCUUUAAUGAUGAUGAUAUAUUAGAUGAGUGGAUACGAGAAGGAGAGGAGCCUAUUUUAUCAUUUGAUAAUUUGGAUUGGUUGGAUAAAGGUCUUCCCACUAAUGAAGAAGGUAGAGAAAGAGAUGUUGAUUCCCGUCAUAAAGGUAAGGCUUCUAGAACAAUUUCUUCAAGUUCUAGUAGUGAUGAUGGUGACAAUAAGGGCAGUAGGCGGGGUGGUGGCACUAGUGGGGGCAAUAGAGGAGUUGGGGGCACUAGUGAGGGUAUUGGAGGAUAUGGUAGCACUAGUGGUGGUUAUGUUAGUCAAGUAGAUCCUGGCAUGUCAUGGGCACAAGGAGGUGAAAAUUACUAUGCCACAUAAGAUACAGAUCAUGGAUAUCGACCAGGGAUAUGGGAACAACGAAAGCAUUUGGAAAUACUAACUACAUUUCCCAGCGAUAAUGAUUAUUCUAGUGGGCAUGAUUAUCAUAGAUCAAAUCAUCAUCGUAUUGAUGAGCACUUACAAAAUUUGGGUAUAGGAUCAAAGCCGUAUUUCAGAGGCGUAGAUGAUAGAUCAUAUCACAACUUUAGAGACCGUGAUAACUCUUCCAAUACUUUUAGUAGAAAUGAUUUUAAUCAAUUUCCAAUGAUGCAUCCAGAGGGAUAUUCAAAUACUGGAACACGAGCUAGUGACUCAUAUGGAUAUGAUCAAUCUUCUAGUAGCAGUAGCAUUGCUUAUCGAGGUUUUGGAUACUAUCAAGCUGAUGUUGAUCCCGAACAGCCUUCAAAACCAUAUUUUCCUGAUUAUGGAUCAUCAAGCCAAUCAUCUCACCCACCAUAUUCGAGUUAUGAACAACUCUUUCAAUCAUAUCCUCACUAUGGGAAUUGUCACCCCAAUUUGUAUGCUCGUCGUAGGACUAAUGAUGAUGAUUUUGAACCCCCUCGUCAUUCAACAUGGAAUUGAUUGUUGUAUUGUAUGUGUUGUUAGUAAAAAUGUUAUUAUAUUUGAAAUAAAAUAACUUUCUUUUUAUUAGCAUUAUCAUAAAUAAAUUUGAGCAGAUACUUUUAUAACUAUUUAAAUAAUGUUAAAUGUGAGACAAUUUUAGUUUAUUAAUUUUUUGAGCUUAUUUAAUUGUAUAUAUUUUUCUGAUAAUUUACAUAAUAUUUUUAUAUUUUUUUGAAUUUUCUAAUCAGCUUAUUUUACGUAUCGCCCCGAUACCAGAUCGAUACACCGAGACCGAUACGCCUCGAGACCCUCCGAGUCAAUGACCGAUACCACGACUUUGAACCAUGUUCACCACCAUCAUCGCGUGUCGCCUUGUCAACACAAAGAACUGUGAACCUACCUUGAACUGCUCGAACGGGACCUCCGGCAGCAUCGUCGUUUCCCUCUAGCCACAUAUCGCUCCUCCAAAUUGGGCUCACCGAAGAGGAUCUCGAUAAAGCUUCGAUAGGGGAAGCGGACAGUCUCUGUGAAGA
rnacentral:lncRNA from 1 species